rnacentral:lncRNA from 1 species
CUAGCUUCUCUUUCCAAAACCAUGGCGUGCACUGUCCUUUCAUUGCUAGACCACAUCUUGAUCACUGUAUUGCUCGUCCUCGCUCGCGACAUUAUCAUAGCCGGUGUUGGCAUAGCUCCACCUCCCACUCCUCUACCUCUUCCACGGCUACGUGCACCCUCUCUGACACCUCAUCCUCCCAGUCUUGGGUCUCCUCCUCGCACUCCUCUUCAUCCUCCCCCUCGGACAAGCGCUCCACCUCUAAAUCCUCUUCCUCGUCCAUGGUUGAGGGCACCUUCGCCAGGUCCUAUUCCUCCACGGCUAGGAGCUCCAACUCGUACUCCUAUUCUUCCUUCUCCUAAGGUAGGUGCUCCACCACCUACACCUAUUCCUCCUAUUCCUCGUUUUGGGGCUCCCUCCCGUGGUCCUAUCCUUCCACCCCCUCGAAAGGGUGUUCCACCUUCUACUACUCCACUUCCAGCACCACGAUUAGGGGCACCUCUCCCAUCCCGUCGUCCUUGUCGUCCACCUAGCGCUCCUAUACUUCCUCCUCGUCAGAAAGGCGCUCCACCUUCCACUCCUCCACUUCCUACACCAAAAUUAGGGGCACCCCUCCCAUCCGCUCCACUUCCUCCACCUCGUGCUCCUGUACUUCCUCCUCGUCAGAUGGGCACCCCACCUUCCCCUCCUCCACUACCUGCACCAAGAUUAGGGGCACCUCUCCCAUCCCCUCUUAAACCUCCAUCUCGUGCUCCUGUAGUUCCUCCCCGCCGAAAGCGCAAGCCACCUCCUACACCACGUUCUAAGGCACCCAUUCCAUCUCCUGUUAUUCCGCCCCCUCGAAAGGGCGCUCCACCUUCCCCUCUUCCACGACCCGCACCAAGAUUAGGGGCACCCCUCCCAUCCCCUCUUAAAGCUCCAUCUCGUGCUCCGGUACUUCCUCCCCGGCGAAAGCGCACCCCACCUCCUGCACGACGUUCUAAGGCACCCAUUCCACCUCCUGUUGUUCCUCGCCCUCGAAAGGGCAGUCCACCUUCCAGUCCAAUUCCUGCACCACGGUUGGGGGUACCCCUUCCAUCUCGUCCUCUUCUUCCCCCUCGCGGACCUACUUUUCCUUCACCUCGGAGGGGCACUCCGCCUUCCACUCCUCCACUUCCUACACCUCUUCUUCCUCUAGCUCGUGCUCCUUUAUAGAAAAUCUUUUGUCUAAGCAAUCGUGAAGGCAGCACCAAUCUCUUCUGAAACAAUAAGAUAGCAACAACAACAAUAUCUUCAUUGAACUCGUCAAAAUAGUUCUAGAAGCCAAAGAUUGAAUCUCAGCUGGAUGGGUUUGCGUUUGCUACAGUGCCAUAGGGUCCCAUCGGCCACAAGAAAAUCAUGUAAUAAAUACAACUAUUUUGUUUGUGGGGUGUGUAAUAAAUUGGUAAGCCUAGGCUUACCACUCCUAUGUAUUUCAACACUCCUUGCAAUAGGGAUUUGAUUUGCUCAAUUAGCCAUCAUGGAUCUGUUUGCAACUCAUCAUCCUUCUCUAUUUGUCAUUGUUUGUUCCUUCCUCGGUGUGUUUUUAUUUUAACACAUGGGCACACAAAGAAGCUGUCCAUUUCUUUUAAAGCAAGAAGAAUUUGCAAAACAGCCCCUUAGUUGGAAAAACUUGUACAUGACUAAAGUAGUGUAGAGAGAUGUUGGAAGAUAUAUUUGUUGGUUCUUUUCCAUCAAAAUUUUAGUUUCCCAUAAAAUUAGAAGUAUAUAUGAUGUGAAUUGUGACUGUGGAUUCUUUCUUGGGAGCGCCAAAUAACAUCCACCUCUCAAACUAAUUAACGCAAAGAUGUGCUCCAGCCAACGGUGGAUUUUUGCCCUAGGCUUGACACAAAACAUCUGUUUGCCCUAGCCAUCAUGCUUGCAAUAAUCAUAUCCCGCCACCUGCCCAACAAUUAAUUAACCAUCCGUCUACCCCAAUAUACAAUGCUUGAAGUAAUCCCCUAGUGCCGCCAAAUUAAGGAACCAAAUUGAUCAAUCGAGGAGUAGAGCGGCGAAAUCAAAGGUUGACACCGGCAAUAAUGUAAUUGAAGGGGAGGCUGUCAGUAGGCAGCCUACCAGGUAGUACCGUACCAGCCAAUGUUGCCACGUUGCCCACUUAUUCGGGAGGCAAGCAGGACAGGUACGGUGCAACAUAAGAGCACUCUCAACGCAGAAACCAUUGUGGUUUCUAUAGAUAUUAAUUGCAGUGUCACCUAUGCAUUUUGCUGAUGUGGCAAUGUAGUUAUUGAAGAGAGAGAGUAAAAAUCAUAGAAACUGAGUCUAAGUUAGAAACCAUGUCUACACAAAAUCCAUGACAUGAAGUGAUAUGAUUGGCUAAGAAUGGAGAGAGAAUGAAUGUGAUUGGACAUAAAAAUAUUCUAUAUAAACUAUCCAUUGGGACUAUAGUUUCUAUAUAUAGUGUCUAUAAAAAUUAAUAGAUAUAGAACUAUAUGUAGUUUCUAGUAUUGGGAGUGCCCUAAUAGAAAUAGGCAUGGUACGUGCACGGCUACAACCAGGUUCCUAGAAGGUUACUUAUAUGGUUUUGUUUAUUAAUUAUGCUGUUAAUUGCUAUAUUUUUCAUGUUGUAUUUAUGCAGUAAUUUUGUGGAAUUUUAAAUUUCACACAAUAAACUAUACAGCAUUGGCUCUAGCGUACAAAUUGAUCGGCUCUGCCACCAUGCGCUGGCUGCAACUGGGCAUGCUUGCUAGUGAAGGCACAAAUUCCUACUCAUGCUCGUUACUGCCGCAGCCAUUAAUUUACGGUUUAGAGCGACUCUACCGAAAUGAAAAAAACUUAAUUCUUCCCUAUAUUUCUUUUAUCGGGUAUAUUUUGAACGCACAUAACUCAUACACUCUAGACUCACAUACACGCGUGCGCCUCUGUAUGCAUGCAAAGAAAAAACAUUUAGUACGACUAAACAAGCAAGCGUGUUUAUACCCUAAAUUUUCUAGAAAAAAAUUAAGAAAAAGGUGCGACACUAGCGUAGCGUCCAACUAGACAGUCCUAUGACACGAUUACUGGCCCAUGCUUUGGUUACGUUCAGGUUUAAAAAUAGGCUCGUUGAAGCAGAUUCAGAAAAUCUUCAUCCUUUACUUUAGGCUGUACUGUUUGCUAGUUUAUUGUAAGAUAAAAAUAUUGUUAAAUUAUUAAUAGUAGAUUGGGCUGAUAAGCUCAAGUGACCAAUGAAUAGGUCAUAAGAAUUCUCUCUAUCCUUUUUUCUCCCUCUCUAAUCACGCCACCUACUCGCUAGCUCCGUGAGGCCGCAUGAUCCCCACAUGGAAUCUUGGUGUGGCGAUGAAAACUUGUGCAGACACUCAAUGCUAUGGUAUGGAACCUGGGUACCUGACUUAAGUGACGGCCUGUAUGACACUACAUAUUUAAUUGUUCUCAAGCAAAGUCACCAAAAAUGUAUGUUGAUACAAAGAAGCGAUCACACAUAACAUAAUAGCGCUAGAGUAGCAGAUCAGUGAGCCCUCGUUGAGAAUACAUGUACUGGUCAAUCCAGUAUUGACAAAAACAUGCAUGCAUGACAAUCCACCACGACAUUCCAAUAAACCCUCAACAAGAACCCAUGCACAUGUUGGACCAUCCAGUGUUUCAUGCUAUGAAUUGCACACUGGAAACCUAUGAACACCUUCUAGAAAGGACAUGUGGGGGAAUGAACCUAGAGUUGUUGUAGGAUUGGCAUAUCCAGCUAGAACAUCCGCAAACUCUGAUCCAUCGAGAAGCUUGUAGAUGACAAUGGAUAUAGACACCGUACCCAACGAGCUAGCAUUUGGAAAAGCUAGGUAGUAAUAUAUUGGUUUUAUUUUUUUAUUGGAUCACUCAAUCGGAUGACCCUUAAUAUUUAAAGGGUGGGAGGUCUAUCCUAGAGGAGUCUGAAUACAUCAUGAAGAAAACUGACCAAAAUCAAACAUAAAGAAGAAAUUGAAUCCAACCUAGACUCAACUAGGGUGCCCACACAGGACCCGUCCGAUGUGUGCAAUCGGCACAUGGCUGUCCAAUUUGACUACCAACAGCUAGUAAGCUAGACAUUUCAUCAACAACAUCCUCUAGAAUAGUUGUGAAUCUAAGAAUCAGACCACAGUGCAAAUGAGAACUAUGCAGGUGGGCUGCCAUGGUACAAAAGAUGCACUACUACAGAAUGACGCAUUGGUCGAUGCCCAAAAUCGCCAAAAGCCUCGGCCCUUUUGCGACCCGAAGCUAAAGACCCCUUUAACAACGGUUUGUAACACGGGCCGAUGAUAAAGGGGCCUACCCAACGGCUACUGAUCAGUGCUGUCGGAGCAGAGACCCUUUAGCACUGAUUCGUGUUACCAACCGAUGCUAAAGGGUUUAUUCAUUUGGCCAUAGACUAGAGCUACCUUUGAUUCCUCAAUAUUUCUUUCAUUAAUUACUCCGGAUUCCUUCAUUUCCAUAUAAAGAUCAUUUCCUUCACGAGUCCGUUCCCCUACUCCGCCAAAUACGCAUACGCCUUUAGCACCGGUCAGUGCCACAGGCCGGGUCAAACCCUUUAGCACCGGUUCAAGGCACAAACCGGUGCUAAAGGGUCACCUUUAGACUGGAUUUGUACCUUGAACCGAUGCUAAAGGGUCUCGUUUAUAGGCCACGACUAUCUAUCCUCCCCUCUGCAAGGGACAUUUAAAAUCACCAUUGUUGUUGCUAGAGCUUGCAUUUGUUCUUCUUGCUUGUUCUUCAUCUCCGGCGCCCAUCGUUGAUCUUCUUGGACUCCGUCAUCGUCUCUUCAUGCUUGGAGGUGACUAUCUUCAUCAUUCCUUGUCUUUUUCAUGUUGUUUUUGGCUUGUGAUUUUCCCAUCAUUUUUUAUCUCAAAUCCACUUGUUAUUUUGAAUCCUUCGCUUGAACUAGUAUCCAUAUAUAUAUAUAUCAUAUUUCAUGGUUGACCUAGUAUCUUUUUAAAUCUUUUUUCCUUCAUAUUAGAACAUGAGAGGAUUGGAAUUUAGUUAAUGUAUAUAGUUUACAAUAAUGAUCUUAGAUAGUUGGAUAGUUCAAAUUAAUUGGUUUGUUAAUAUCACUUGAUAGGUUUUUAUUAGUACAUAAUAUCCAUUGUAUAAUUUCGAAAAUUUGUUGAAGUAGCUAGACAAAUAAAGGAUAUUAUUAGGUUCUUCUUUUAUCAUACUUGUUUACUAGAAAAUGUGGAAUUUGUAAUUAUUUAAAAAUUGAGUAUGGAUAGUAGAUGGCAACCGUGACCGGAUCGUCGGUCUCUCAACGGGUUCAAAAGCAAUACCGGCUAGAACUCCCUCUCAUUACUUGCGGUAAGUGUGGGCAGAAGAUUGUGAUGGAGUACAAAAUGUCGAAGAGGGAGUAAACAAGGGUCUUAUAUUCUACAAGUGUCCAGAUCGUAAUGUGAGUUCUUUCCAGACAUUUGCUUAUAUAUGUGCCUAUUUUUUAAUGAUGUUACUUAAACUUUUGAUUCUCUCUUCUAAUUUUAGUGAGACGGUACCGACAGAUGUACAUGUUAGUACUGGGAGGAAGAAUACAUUCAACACAUCAAGAAAUCUUUUGCACAGGCGGUUGAGGCUGAAGGUGAUGAGGUAGUCAGCCGGCGAAAGGAGUCCAUCGAUGUUGAUCAAGCUAAUGAUCUGUCUAUUAUAGUUGGGAUCGGAUGUGAACUAAUUAUGUUGCUUAAGUGCAUUUUAGUUUUAGUUUUUUUAGUGCUAGUUGCAAUUGUCUUUGUUGUAGCCAGGAUUGCUUAAAUUAUCAACUAUGUGUGUUAGACAUGUUGUGCAAUAAGAUGAGAAACUAUAUGUGCAUGGUUUUCAUAAUAUAUAUGUUAUGUAUAAUGCCGAUCGGCGCUCCGAAGAGUUCAUUAAUGGUGUGCACUAUUUCUUAAGUGUGGCCGAGACAAACAAGAGGGACGAUUUCAUGUGUUGUCCAUAUGCCGUGUGCAAGAAUUUGACGGAAUAUUCUAACUCAAGGACUCUUUAUUCGCACUUAUUAAAGAUUGGUUUUGUACCAAACUAUAUUUGUUGGACCAAGCAUGGAGAAAGCAGGAUUAUAAUUGAUGAAGGUGAAAAAGAAGAAGAAGAAUUAGACCUCGCCGACAUUAUUGCUUAGUAUGGUGGCUUCGAUGAUGUUGCAAUGGGGAGAGAUGAUGAAGAAGAGGUAGCGGCAGAAGAUGAUCGGGCGAUGAUGCUUUUGGUGAUGCCUCCGUGAUGCACAAAGAGAAUGUGAAAGUGAGAAAGAGAAGGCUAAGUUCAAGUGCAUACUAGAGGACCACAGGAAAUCGCUAUAUCCCACCGCUGAAGAGGGGCAAGAAAAAGCUGGGAACCACACUGGAAUCACUGUAAUGGAAGGCAAAGAAUGAUACAUCCGACAAGGCAUUUGAGAAGUUAUUGAAGAUCAUAAAAAAGAUGCUUUCGAAAGGUAAUGAAUUGCCCACCAAUACGUAUGAAGCAAAACAGGUUGUCUACCCUUUGGGAUUAGAAAUCCAAAAGAUACACGCAUAUCCUAAUGACUGCAUCCUCUACCAUGGGGAGGAAUACGAGAAUUGGAUGCAUGUCCGGUAUGUAAGGCAUCACAGAAGAUCAGCCGAGAUGAUCCUGACAAUGUUGAGGGUGAAGAACGUCAUAGGAAGAAAAUUCCUGCCAAAGUUAUGUGGUAUGCUCCUAUAAUAACACGAUUAAAACGUCUGUUUAGAAAUAAGGACAAUGCAAAGUUGUUGCGGUGACAUAAAGAAGACCGUAAGAUAAACAAUAUGCUGAGACACCUUGUCGAUGGAUCCCAGUGGAGAGCGAUAGACAAAGAAUUCCUAAAUUUUGCAGAUGAUGCUAGAAACUUGCGGUUCGCCUUAAGCAAAAAUGACAAUAGUAUUAGGUUCGUUGACACCUAUAUUGUUUUCAAGGCUCCGCAGGCAGUGUGGACACCAUCUUAUGAGACAGAAGUCUACACCAAUCUUAUGAGGUUGUUCGUGAACCAAAAAGAAAAACAAAAAAUAGUCUUCUCCUACAACUUCGAGUGAGUUAUAUAGUUAUUAAGUGCAUGCACAUUUUAUUUUACUUAUUAUUACUUGAUCCGGGUUCUAUAUAGUUAUAGGCCUGACUAUAUGUAUAUGUGUGUGUAAACAUCUUUCACUGGAUACUCAUGGUCAUUGAAAUUCCCAAGAACCGGUUGAUAAUCUAUGACUCACUGAGAAAACUGCAAGAAAAUUACCAACAAAUGGUAAACAUUAUUCAAAGGUACGUAAUGUCGAUCUCAGCUAGAAGAAUAUCAUGAUAUGACUCUGUAAUUAUUAAUUGAUGAUCCACAAUGGCUGGUGUAGGGUUUGGGAAAGAUUUAUGACCGUGAACAUCUCAUUGGUUGUAGAGCGCCGCUUGAUAUACUCCAUCCACAAGUAAUAAGUUGUACUAGCUAGCAAACUUUUGCUAACAUUUAGCUUUCUUAUUGUCGUGGUCGUGAAUCUUUUUUAUAUAUCGUACAGUGGUGUUUAAGACAAGAAGGGAGAACAGCCUAUAUGGAUAUUACAAUCUGCAAAUUCUUGAUGGUACACGUCCACAGACACCCUCCGAGUACGUUACAUGUCUAUUUUCAUUAUCUUCUGAAUUAUAUGGAAUAACUUAGAUAACUAAUACCUUUUUCUUUUUAUUUCAAAUUAAAGAUGGAAUGGUUAAGGGAAAAGGUCAUGUAAAAAUACCACAUCAAAGCUAUUCAAGAGGCGAUAGCAGGAUUCCUCCGCGAUCAAGUGAUCAAUCCAAACGGCGAGUUUCACUUCAACGAUAACGAGACACUUAUUCCAACCAACGAUGAUCAUUUGUAUCGGCUCAAGAGAUUCGGAGAAGAAUACUCUAUGUAUAUAUAUGUUAGGAAUGUUGUACUUAUAAAACUAUAUAUAAAGCUUGUUACAUAUCCAUCUAUUUGAUUAUUAAUGUUGCCUAUUCGCUUUAUUAUAGGCAAAGCUUAAUUAUAAAGCUAAGCAUAUAAUAAUAUUUAUGCUUAAUAUACGUGUAAUAUAUAUAUAUAUGCAUAAAUUAUGUAUUGACAAACCUAUUAUUAUUAUGUAUAAACAAUAAAUAGAAAUGAAUAAAUGAACCGAAAACAAAAAGAAAAAAGGACCCCUUUAACACCGGUUAUAACCAACCGGUGUUAAAGGGUGCGACUUUAGCCUCGGUGCCCUGAACCGGGACUAAAGGGUGGGCCUUUAGUCCCGGAAGGGCAGCACAGGCUCAGGAACAGGGACAAAAGGCCCUUCCCGACCGAUGCUAAUGCCUGAACAUGUAGCAGUGAUUGCUGAUAGGACGUGCUUCACAAUAAAGAAAGACUUAUUGUGCGAUACAUCAUUGGCACAACAUCACUAGUAGUCAUGAUCCAAAGUGGUAUAAAACAUGAGAGGAUCAAGCUAGCAUGACUCAAGUCCUCCAAGGUGGCAUAAAACACGAGGGUUGAGAUGGGUCAGUUGUUCAGUUGUCACAGUUCUAAAUCCUACCUCUAGAUGUGCGAGUCCUGUUAUGAUCCUACUGCUAGAGUUGGUGGUAGGCUUAUACAAAUGCUGAUACUGGUUUUUAUAUUCAAAAAUGUUUAACAUGUGGAGAAACUAGAUGUGCAUUUAUCUUUGGAUGGAGGAAAUACUUGUAAAACAUAUGGACUCUAUCAUAGAUGGAAUGGAGAAUGAUGAAUUAUAAUCCUACUUUGUUUCUAUGUGGGCUCUUCUCAAACACUUAGGCUUUGACAGGACUAUGUAUAUGUGGGAGUGUUAUGUUGUAAUCUCUAAUAUUCAUAAGAAUAAGGAAUAAUCUACCUACCUUGUGUCUGUGUGUUCUAAUUUCAUCUACCAUGAUGUUCAUGAGAAACAAGAAAGGAAAGAUCCUAACCAGUAAUGAUGUAUUUUAUAACACAUUAUUAGCAUAACAUGCUCUUCAUCGACAUCGCCAUCGGAGCCGCUGCUGCCACCGACACCAAUACUGUUACCGAUGUCCUGACGCAACUAGUUCGACAAUGUCGACAUCCUCGAUCCGUCAUCAUCAAGCAAAUAGGUGUGCAACAAUGCCAAGUCCCUACGUGAUAUGUACUUAUCUACAUAAUAGCCUCCACUCUACGCGGUAUGUGAAGUAGAUCAAACUGACUUCCUUCAAAAGAUAUGAAAAAAACACAUCUCGUAGUUUGUGUUUGUCCUCAUGACUAUUAAUUUUCUUAAUCGUAGUACAUAUAUGUAAUUUUUUUCUACUUGUAGCAGAUAUAUCUAAAAGCAGUACAUAUAAAUGCACAUGUAGUACGAGCAAUAAGGUGUGCCAUAUGGACGCAUAUAUGAUAGACUCAUAUAGAGCUUGUUCAUCAUAUACUAGCAAACAUGACUGUACAGUGCAAUGGAUAAAAGUUGUCAAAUAUUUAUGGGGAUGACGAUAUGAAUGAUAUAUAUGUGUUAUUUAUGUUUUAUUCUUUCUAUAAAAUUAACAGUUAACUUAUUUUCUGAUGGAUCUGACAUCCAUAAUGUAAGUUAAUGUGUCAAUAAUAUAACAAUAUAAUGUAUCAAAUCAAAAUACAAACUUUAUACUGCAAGCGCAGUAAUAUUUAGACUUAGAUACAUCAUAAUUUUUUAAUAGAAGACAUGCAUUACUCAAAUGAACUCAACAAGAAUACAUUCAAACAAUCAAUAUUGUAUAGUCUCGAAGUUAUCAUAAAAACAAUCUUUCUCAUUUCCAUGCUAAUUUCUCUUAACUAAGUUAUUUUUAGUAAGCAUGGCCCCUUUAUAUAGAAAUCAAAGAAAAAUUUCACCUUUAAAGGUAUCUUAAUUUUCUAUAAGUAUAUGUUAUAUAUAUUGCAUAAAAUCCUGAUUCAUCGUAGCACUAUACAUUGAUGCUACUGACAAUCAUCUAUUCUGAUAAAGAGAUCAUACGAAUGUACCUGGUUGAUUAUAUAAAUGUAUAUUUGCAAGUCAUAAAACUAAAUUAUGCUAAGAAUCAAAGUUUUGACUUACUAAUAAAGCUAAUCAAAACAAAAUGUUUAAGGCUACAGAACUCAUGAUAUCAGCAACGAGAUAGCACUUUUCCUUCUCAUUAUCACUACUACAGAAAAGCGUACUACUGGCGGUUCCCGACCCAUUCCUACAGGCGGAUUCCAGCGCCGCCUGUGCAUUGGGGCCUUUAGAAAUAGAACCAAAGCACAGGUGGUAGCCUUGGAACCAUUUGUAGAAAAUCAUUUUUACGGACGGUUCACUUAGCCAACCGCCUGUGUAAAUGGUCUAUUUGUACAGAUCUUGGUUGGCUAAGUGAACCGCUUGUACAAAUGAUUUUGGGUUUUAGGGUAUUUUAUUAAUUAUUUUACAUUACAUUAUAUAUUUCAAUUGUAAUUAUUUUUUGUAUAUUAUUAAAUAUUUACAUUUAUAUUGAUGGUGUUCAAAGCUAGCAUGAAUAUAAAUAUACAUGUAACACCCUAAAAUUUACUCCUUUUGAAAUAUAGAUAAAAUUAUUUAAUUUUGUAUUUUUGUGCUCAUGAAAAUAUAGGAAAAAUAAUAUUUUUCAUUAAAUUAAAAUUUAUCAUAAGGCUUAGCAAUAUUAUUAUGCGUACAUGCUGGUGCAUAUGUUUUGAUGUGAUGCUUGUUGCUCCUUUAUGUGUUGAUAGUAAGAAAAAUAUUUAAAAUGCGUUUAGUAGAUCGAUCUUCCUUGACCACCAGUACGUCUUUAUCUUAAUCUAUAACCAAAUUCCUUGUUUCCCAGCUCAAUUUUUUAUGAGGACCUUCCUAAAAUAUUUUCUUUGUCACUCAAAGCACUUCUUUUAGUUCCUCGUCCAUCAAGCACUCUCUACAAAUUUUUCGGGAAUUUUUUCAGCUUCUGUUCUCACUUUUCUGUGAGCAUGAUCUAAUUUUCAGAUGCUCCAAACAAUCUUCUCAUGAGCUCCAAAAGCUUUAUUCGGGUUCCCCAUGUUCUAUAAUAUCUCUGAGAAUUUUUUCUGAAUUUUCGAAGCUUUCGGAAUAUUUUUCAUGGCUUAAAUCAUAAUUCUGGACUUUUCUAGGAUUAUUUUAUUCGCCAAAUUAAUUAAUUUCGAAAAUAAUAAAAUCUUUCAUUUUAUCUCAAGCUCAGGCCCAUGAUCUCAAUGGUCAAUGUCUUUAUUUACAAAUGGACUUUAAUAAUUAAUUAGACCUAUUAGUAAAGAUGAAGGUUGCAAAUCAAUUAGUACCAUAUCGCUAGUUGACGUGGAGGUGGGGAGUUUUUCUCCCUAUAUAUAUGUACCAAUCCCUUAGGCAAAGCACAUCAAAGACUAUUAUAUGGGAAGUCUCUAAUUUGAGAAUUCUUAAGGUAGUAAAAUAAAAUUUAUUUUCUUCUCUACAACGUGAUCGCCAUCGUCUCGCCUACACACGACAUCUACGAACGGUCGGUUGCUCCGGCGUUGCUGUAGCUCCAAGAAAGCGUCACUGUCGGUGAACCCACUCCCUGUCCACCAAUGUAAGUCCCAAUCACUUUAUCUUUCAGUUUGGAAAAUACAAACAGCUUGGUUUUAGAUUAAAAAUCAGUUUGAAAAAUACAAACAGCUUGGUUUUAGACUUUCUUUUGGCCAUAAAAUAUUCAUUUUAACUCCGAUUUGACCCAUUCAAAUUGCGUUAGGUUCGUUUUAAUGAGCUAUACAUGUUAGUAACAUUGUUUUCUCAGUUUAAAACUUUUUAUUUCUAAUUAAUUAAUUAUUUUUCUAAAGGAAAUCUUAGAAAAUUCAUAACUUUUCCAUUUUAGCUCCGAUUUUUGUGAUCUUUACGUCUAUAAAAUCGUAGCGAUGCGUAGAAUCAUUUUAUAAACUUUUCAUACUGUUUUCACAUGUUUGGUGUAAUGUUCUAAUUGUAGUCUUGUUUGCUUCGUGUAUGUUUUCUUCGAUUGUUUGUGUGAUCGAUGAUCGAGAUUAGACGAUGAGCAAUCCUUGGUGAACCAAAGUGCUUCAGCGAUCAAGAUCAGAGCCUUGGACAACUAGUAAGACCAGCAAGAUCAGCAAGAGCAAUUGGAUUAAGGCAAGUAUAGCAUUUAGAUUUUAUUUCUGUGACCAUGAUCCUGUGACUAGAUUAAUGUUAAGUAAUAAAUAAUAAAAAUGACUUUUUAACAACUUGAUUUAUCUGUACGUGAUCACCCGGGAUAACAGUACAACCAUGAGGGCUAUAAUGGCUCUGGCUUUAGCUCAGUAUGAGGAUCUUUUUCUAGCUUGUUAGCGGUUACCUUAAAUGGCGUAAGAAUGGCUAGACACGUUGGGUAUAGUGUGGCCUCUGUCCAUGUGUAUAGGCUGCGGGUUAUGUGCCAUGGAAGGGGGCUCUAUAUCUGCCUGCCGAGUGAAUCUAAUGGCCCUAACUUGUUAGACGAAACCUUUGAAAGGCUUCAUAGUGAUCCCUGCCGACCUUCCUUGGAAGUGGGUUAAGAGGCUGAUCACCUCAGGCGAAAGGGUAAAUCAUGACUCAUGGAUAAAGAUGUACAACCUCUGCAGAGUGUAAAACUGGUAUACUAGCCGAGCUCACGGUCAGUAGCGGCCUUGGGGACAUCUACAUUAAGGGUGAUGAAUCUUGUGUGUUAAAUAUGCUCACUGUUUAUUGUUUAAUACUCUACAUUAUCUUUAUCACAUUGAUCAUGACAUUGUGGGAUCUAUACAAUCUAGUUGCUAUACUUGUGGAGUUCGACAUGGACUCACUCUUGCUAUUCCACACACCCCUCAGGAGAAGUUUUGGGCUUGUGAUCAACCAGUCAGUUGGAUCCUAUAGAGUGAAGUUAAUACCCGAAGUUGGAGUUGUCUAUCCGCUGUUUGCUGCUUAAGGUUAUCUCUGAUUUAUUAUUACGUUAUAUAACUUAUGCAUUGUCUUUUGAUAUUACCCUUUAUUUGUAGCUAUAUGUGAGAUUUGGCCUCUAAAACUCACAUAUGGUGCAUAUCUGAUUUUGUCCUUAAAAUCGGGUAUUACAAUACAUCACACAUUGUAUAUAAUAAAUUUAAUUACAAGUGUAUAUACAUCACACACUGUUUAGAUCAAAGUUUGUUGCUCUAAUAACCCUUCCUAGUAAGGCCUAGCCUACUAAUCUCUGUUAGGAUCUGGUACUGCAGCAAGGAUAAUACACUAGUAUUAUCAUGAUAUUUCCCUUGGCAUGGAAUGACAUGUUUCAAGAGGAAUGUGCACAUGUCCUCAACCAUUUCGUAUGAAGUAUUUUCGGUGAUGUUAGCCGCAAUGGGUUCCUUAUAUUCCUGCAAAGAAAGUUUAUAAGCAUCAUAUACUUAAAAUAUCCGCCUUUAAUGUUAGAAGGGAAAGCAUCAUAUACUAAUUACCUCGGAAGGGUUGCUGGCGAAUCGUCUGGUCUCCCUCAUGUGGUGGCACACAUAGUAUCCACAGAGGACACUUCCGGGUGGUUGCUUGAGGCACUAUAUAAAGAGAAAGUGAUUAUUUAUAGAUGCCACUACGGUCCUAUGUUUUGUAUUCAUAAGAGUAAAUUUUCAUACGUAACGGCCAGUUAUACAUUACAUCCAAUGGCUGCCCAUUUUUCUUGGACUCACACUUCCCACAUGAUAGCUUAUACCACCUGUAUGCCCUCAGAUCUCGAAUAGAACGACCAUGUUAUCUCCAAACACUAAUAAUGCAAAAAAUUAUGCAUGCAUAUCUCGACUUACAGCUCUAAGAGUUCAAUGAAUUUUGCAUAACUAUUUGGAGGGUAGUCUGAGGAGUCUUGUACUGUACCCGUCCUUGCUUGGGAAAAACACUGAAGCAGAUCCAGUGGUCGCUGCACGAUUCAAAUUCCUGAUUCAUUUGUGCAUUGGAAUUAUUUAGUUUGAUGUAUAUACACUUGUAAUUUACACUUACUCAAAGUUGUAUGGAAUGACUACCGAUUCCCUGUGUUGAUACUUUAGCAGGCACUUUCCAAUGUCAUGGGCAAAGUUAGAUUCAAACUUCAUCUUCAACUGUUUGAGUUUUGCCGCCAGUUCUUCACCUUCUCAGCCCUGUAUUUCUUUGUUGUCCUUCCCGGUUCUGAAUGUGUGCCGUUCUUGGCAUACUUCCAGUGGGCUCAGAUAGGCAACCCUUUGGUUGGGACAAUAAUCCAAAUCAAGACCAUAAUACAUCUUGCUGCUCAUAUAGCAUCCUGUGAGGCACAUGCAUGUUAGGUAUUGAACACUGAUGCAACUAUAUACAAUAUAUGUGUAACUUAUAUAACUCUUACAAUGUGAAGGUCGUUACGAUCUGCACAUCAAGUCUCUUGAAGUUCAUCAUCAAACCACACAUAUUCGAAGUUAAGCAUGACUUUAUCAUAUGUACUCUAAAAUACCUUGUAUUGUAUAGAUACGUUGAUGGUGUCGAUGCCAACUGAUGAGGCUCUCAUGUACCAGUCAUGCAGCCUUUUUAUAUUGGUUGGGACCCUUAAGAGUUUCUCCCACGUGAGUAGAGGCCUUCCAACCAAAAAUUCUGCAGGGAUGUUCGUGUAAUCUUCUUUAGUUGGCACCUUGAUCUGGCAGGGAAUGGGCUCAGCAAAAGGCCGGCUUCGAUAACUUCGAGAGCUCCGACAACUCUUGCACUUCUACUGUGCGUUUUAGUCCAAUGCCUUUUAAAAACCUGGCCGUGCCAGCUGAUUUUUUCUUUGGCUCAUAUUCAGAAACCAACUUGGGAACCGAAAAUUCCUUCUUCCUUGGCUUUUUAGGUGGCUCGCUUGUUUUCUCAGGAUCUUUGGGCUGUGGGGAAGGUGGGGAAUUGAGCGGUGCCGGAGAUGAUGGAGAUGGGUUACGAAGAGAUUGGGUAGGUGAUGGUAGUGGGUUAGGAAGAGGCUAGGAAGGUGAUAGUGGUGUUUGAGGAACAUGAUCGAUAGGUGCUGACGACUCCUGAGUGAGUCAUAUCUCUUGAGAGGAUGGUGGUGCCUCCCUUAGCUGAACGUCCCGAUGAGGCCAAUGGAUGAAAUUGUUUAUAGCCUAUCCAAGUUUUUCAAUCUCCUUGGGACCGGGGAUGACUAGCAUCUCGUCCUUGUAUCCUAGGACCACUGUCGAUACUUGUUGUCAACUGGGUAGUGAGCCUUGUUCCCCGUAGACGUGACACUGCUUGGCAUCUCGGUUGGACACGGUGACCUGGCGUGAUGACCCAGAUGCCAAGAACUUGGUGGUGCAAUCCUCGAGUGUUUCCCCAUCUAGAAUAUCCUGCUCCCUUAGCCAUGAGGUGAACCGAUUCUUGUGUUCCUUCAUUAUCCAUUCGUCUGUGUGCCCAUGAAUAUGUUUUUGAAGCUCUUCAAUGUGUAGAUUGAUCAAAGGCUCCAUUAUCGAGAGCUGAUGUAGGACGUUGUGAUGUGCCUCGAGAACUGUAUUGUAAUAUUUUGAGGUUGUAGCUUGCUGCCAAGAGGUGGUACUUCCCAUUUUCUAGCCUAGCAGGGUGAAGUUCUUUUUUUAUGACUAACUGUACCAUGUCCAAGCGUGAAUUCAGUCCUUCCUUUGUCUUACCCUUCAUGUCCAACAAGGUGCCAAUUAGCCUUUCAAACACGUUCUUCUGAACAUGCAUACCAUCGAUCGCGUGGCGUACGUCUAACUCUGGCCAGUAUUCCAAAUACUCGAAGAAAAUAGACUUCUUCUUGAAUGUAGCCCCUGGAGCUGGUUUGACAUUCUUUCUUAGUUUUUCAUCUUUUGUCUUCUUCCCAAAAACAAAUUUGAGUUUGCUAACUAUGCUGAAAACUCUUUUGCCUUUACUGUUACCUGAUGGAGCAGUAGACUGUAGUUCACUAUUAUUGUCAAAGUACUUAUCCAUUUUUUCUAUCGGUACCUGUGUCCUUUUGAUAAGAAGCGUUUGUGCCUCAUGUACACUAUCUUCUUAGAUGCAGUAAGGGACACAUAAGUGGUGCCAUCUAUGCAUACCACACAACCAAGCUUUCCCUUAAAUUAUCCUGAUAAUGUAAAGAGAGCUGGGUAGUCAUUGAUCGUAACAAAGAUAAUUGCUCUUAGUGUGAAUGAUUCUUUGCGGUUCUUGUCCAUUUGAACACCUUUUUCCCAAAGUAUCUUCAUGUCCUACAUUAAGGGCUCCAAGAAAACAUCCAUGUCAACUCCAGGUUGUGUAAGUCCAGAGAUAAGAAUGGUUAGCAAAAGGUUCUUUCGCUUCUACAUCAACCAUGGAGGAAGGUUGUAGAUGGUGAGGAUCACCCCGGCCAUGUGCUGUGCUUGCUGCUCCUAACAUUCCAUCAGUACUCAGUGCAAACCUAACAUUCCUUGGUUCCUUAGCAAAGUCCUUGUGGUUUUCAUUGAAAUCUUUCCACUGUUGGCCAUCGGUUGGGUGCUAAAGCUUCCCAUCGUCUUUAUGCUCAUUAGAAGCAUGCCAACUCAUAAGUUGUGCAUCCUCUGGGUUAGCGAACAAACACCUCAAUAGAUCGACCAUAGGAAGGUACCACAUCACCAAAGCAGAAAUAUUUUUCUGCGCAUAAUAGUCUUUUUCUUCCUUUUCUUUUCUAGUGGGUUUUGAACUACACUUCUAGGUCUUUUGUUGGGUCCUCUUUCUCUUACUUCCCUUAGACACAGAGGCAGCACACUCUUGCUCUCUGUUAUCUUUAUUCGUCUUGUACCUACUUGCACCACACUUGGGACACCUGAACAAGUCCUUAUUAUCAUCACCUCGAUAUAAGAUACAAUAAUUUCUACACGCGUGGAUCUUCUCAACACCCAUUGUUAGUGGACUGAUUAGCUUCUUUGCAUAGUAUGUGAUAGCAGGCACUUUGUUCUCUUUUGGAAGCAUGUUUGUGAAAAUUCUCAAGAAAGCAUCAAGGCCAACAUCAGAAAGACCAUAUCUAGCUUUGCACACCAAUAACUUUUGCACAGACUGUAGUGUCGUGAACUCCUUGGUGCAACCCUUAGACCCAUUGUACAAAGGCUCUUCUGCUACCUUCAUCAGUGCCUCCAUACCUUUCAUGAAGAACAUUGAUGGAUCUUCUGCAUGAUGACACAACAUUGCCUCUAGGAAUUCUGCAUCAUCCGCAGCCAUAUUAGUUCUGCCGCCUUCAUUUCCUCCGGUGGAACCAUGAUCCAGAACAUUUGGCACAACAUGUUCAACUUCUACACCAUUGGCUUCAGGUUGUUGUGUCUCGUGUAUAAACUCAAACCCUUCAAAAACCAUAUCUGGACCAUCGGUGUCGAUGUUUGUAGGGUUUACAGUUGCAUAAGACGCAGAGCUACCCUCUUCAUGCUUUGUUCUAAUCAAGUAAUCCAUCAUAAAUCCUUGGCGUAGCAGAUGAGAAAUGAUUUGUUGAGUGUCAACAAAUAGAACCACAUUUUUGCAGUCUACGCAUGGACAAUGUAUGUGUGUCAUCUUCUUUGUUCUCGAAGCGUGGUUCUUAGCAGCAUCAAUAAACUUCUAGACCUCGAGUAUGUAUGAUGGAUCUAGUCUUGAUAAAUCAUACAUCCCGACUGACCUCUCCAUUACUAUUUGUAAAAAAAUACAUUGAAUUGAUUGUUAAAUAAUGCAAAACAUGUUACCAUGCAUAUCUAGGGAUUAUUAAUUAGCUAGGGUUUAGGGUUCAAGUGGGGUUUUAGCAAUGGUUUAGGUAGGGUUUAGCUAGGGAUUAAAGUAUAUAACUUAAAUAGCAUAAUUAAAAAACCUAAUAACCGUAAUUAAAAACAUUGCAUUCAUGAAACAUACAUACAUGUGGAUAAAUAAAUUGACAAAUUUAUAAAGAGAGAUAUAAAUUAAAAAACCUAAGUAUAGCAUAGCUAUAUAAACACAACAUUCAUUAGAAAUAGAUAGAUGAUGUGGAAGGUGAUAAUAAAAAACCUAACAUAUAAUUAAAAAAUAAAAAAUCAACAAAUCUCUCUCUACAUAAAUAUACAAGAACACACAAUUGGUUUAAUCUUGUAAAAACUAGCUAAAUUGAGAAGGAAAGCAAGUAAAGGGAGAGAAGAGAGGCAUUAUCCAACCAUUUUGAGCAACCCCAUCUAACCAUAUCAUCAAAUAAAGACAAGAAGCUAGCUAUUCUUCUCUCUCACUUAUGGUGAAACCCUAUAUCCAAAAAGUGGCUCAAAUUGAGCUAGAAUGAGCAAAUUGAGGCAAUAGGGACAUAAACUAACCUUUUUAGCAACCUCCUUCCCAUAAAUGAAGAUCAAAACCUCCCCCCUUGUAUUUUGAGAAAUCUGGACCUCCAAAAUCACCGUGGGUGCGAGAUACUAUUCUGGUCAGAGAGGAAGAAGGAGUAUUUAUAUAGAAGAUACCACAGGCGGUUGCUUAAGUCAACCGCCUGUGGGAACCGUUUUCCACAGGCGGCUGGCUUAACUCAACCGCCUGUGUAAAUGCUCCAUUUACACGAGCGGUUGACUUAAGCCAGCCGCCUGUGCAAACGGAUUAUCACAGGCGGUUGGCUUAUAAGUCAACCACCUGUGUAAAUGGAGCAUUUACACUGGCGGUUGGCUUAAGCCAACUGCCUGUGACAAUCCAUUUGCACAGGCGGCUGGGAGCUCUGACACCGCCCCUUUUAUACCACAGGCACGUUGUAACUAGAACCGCAUGUGGUAUAAAAAGGGGGCGCCAGCUAUGAGCCCAAUUCUACUAGUGUACUAUAUAAAUUUAGAUAUUGCUCUUUUAAGGUAGACAUGCCUAACCACUUAUCUUCUUAGAAUCUAACUGUUGGUAUUUGUUAGCGUCACUUAGAGGGGUUAUCAGUCCCCACACUAAAAAUACAUGACGACGGUUUUGCAGAGUAGGAGGGAUUCCACAAGCGCACAAAACUAUUGUGUAGCACUUCACCUAGGAGUACCAGGUGUCAAAUUUAUUUGAUUCCCACAAGAAGGCAAGGUAGGUGGAUCCUUGGGAUGAAUGUGACGUAUUAGUGGGUGAAAGGUAUACAUAUAGUAAAAGGGAUAACUAAAGAUAACUAAGAUAAUUAAAGGGAUGAGAUCACUGCACAGCUCUAGAGGGAGAGAAGGCUGUAAUCUAGGUAAUUAAGAUAGGUGAGUAAAUAGAAAGACCUUAUCUCGUAAAUAUGUGUGCACACUCCUGAUUUAACUAGACACAACGCACAAUGAGCCUUAUGAUUUAAUAACUAAAUCCAACAUGGUGGAAUACAUAGGGCUGUCACCACCAGCCACUACCACACUAUCUGCGGGCCUAGCCGUAACUGAAGGUAAGUUAUAGCCUAAGCACCUCACUUAAUCUAUAAGUGUACUAUCUCUACUUGAGUUAGAAGAAAAGACACUUUAACCAUACCAUGGAGCAAUACUAGAUAUGAGUGAACUAAUACAAAGAUGACUUAAAGAACCUAUACCUAUAACAAGAGUCAAGUCUCACUACUAAUAAAUAGAAGUAAGAAUAAGACUGGAAUGUAGAGGCGUAAAGCAAAUACUUAGUAAGUACUAGAAGUAAAGUACUUGUAUUAAGUAAGAACUGUAUUAUUACAAAGGAGCUAUACCAGACUUGAAGAUUCAGGAAGACUCUUCCAGACUUCGAGGCAGAAUCUCCACCCGACUCUUCUCCUCUUGCUAAGGUAGAAAGAGCUUCUAAGGGCACUCACAAUGUAGACUCUAUCAUAGAGUCUAAAGUUAUUUAUUACCUCGAACAAUGUGGACUUAGAUUCUAAAUAAGACUUGGAGUCUUAUUUUUUCUACCUUUUUCUUCAAUAAAUAUGCUGCCACAUUAGAAAAAUACCAUAAAUAAUAUGUAAUUAAUUGUCUUGGACUCUGGGAUAGAGUUUUGCAUUGUGAGUUCCCUAAGCUAGGCUAGAGCUGGAGCUAGCACGCUAGAGCAAAAGAGUAAUUGAACUACUGAGCUUCUCUAGUGUCUACUCUUGUAUAUCUUGUGUGAUCUGUAUUUUCGAGGGCCAAAAUACUGCUUUUAUAACAGCAGGGGCACCAGGGGAUACUUGUAGGUGUCGAGGGUGGUUGGCAGCCGUCGAGAGGUGGCGGAUGCUGUGGUGGGGCGACGGCCGCUGCCCAAUUCCACUGCCUUAGCAUCCUACGAUGAUGGAUGGCUCCCCUAAGUCGGUCGCGUGGUAGGUAAGUCAGUUUUGCAUGUUGAAAAGUCGGUUUAGGUGCUCCAAGUGGAUGAUGGUGGACCCAUGGAUCCAUGACACUUCCAUCGAGCGUCAUUGGAUCAAACCAACUUUGCUGGAUGGUGUGGAGGCCAUGGGGAGUCAUUCCCACGGAUCACUGAUGUGGCAGGCCAUAGGGGGGCAGCGAGUGCCACCAAGUGGCGGCGAGCGCCGUGCCACUUGGCCUCCCCGCUGCCCUAUCAUAGCCCACGUGUCACAUAUGUUCCAUUUUUGCCUGUUUUUACUAUUUUUCCUACAUACAAAUAAAAUUCCAAGUACAAGUGGAACUAGGUAAAAUUCAAAGCAUAUUUAUAUUAUUUUUUAUUGAAUUACCUUACUUUUGGGUGAAAUAUUGAUGGUCAAAUAGGUUGUUAGUGACCAUCAACAAUCCCCCAAGCUACCCUUUUGCUUGUCCUCGAGCAAAACAUGUGGGUUGAGCAUGGAGAUUGUCAGAUUAGAAGCAUCUUCAAUGUAACACUCCGCAAAAACUUAUAUACAACCCAAUGCUAUCCUCAAAUUGAACAUAAUUAGAAAUCUAUCUUAAGUCUACUUUAUGGGGCUUAUUGGCUUUUUCACCUUGUAAUAUGCAUAAGAUAAUGUAACAAGUAUAAAAUUUGUCCCUCGCUUUGGGUUAGCUAAGACUUUGUCUAGAGUGUUUUAGAGUUUUGAAUUGAAAAUAUUCCAUUAGGUUCCUCAGAUGGUACACUCAACCUCACGAUGGUGUUUAGAAAACAUCUCCAAUGCUGAGGAUUAACAGCCUGCUUGAAUCUCAUACUAAGGCUUAAUUCAUAGGUGGGGAAAACAUGAGCAGACUUGUGUUGCAUAUGUUGCCAAGCUAGACACUUAGAUCAAAUGGAGUAACAAGUCAUGUAGAAGGUCAAGAAAUGCAAGUGUGUGGGUAUUUGGUGGAACUCCUUAAGACUUACUGCUAGUAAGUGGAGGGAGCAUGGCUACUUGUAUAUUAUAUAUAUAUACACACACACACACAAGUAGCAAUCCUCCCACUUACAAGAAGUCUCAAGGAGUCAUUAUAUACUCAAUCCAUCCCAAAUUAUAUGAUGUUUGACUUUUUGACACCAAGUUUGACCACUAGUCGUCUUAUUCAAAAAUUUAUGCAAAAUAUUACUUCUUUUGUCAUGGCUUGGUUUAUAAUUAAAAUUCUUCAAGAAUGACUUAAAUUUGACUAUGUUUGCAUAAAUUUUUUGAAUAAGAUGAGUGGUCAAACUUGGGGUCAAAAAAGUCAAACAUCUUAUAAUUUAGGAUGUAAGGAGUAUAUAUAUAAUAUAUAUAUAAUAAUAUAUAAUGUAUAAUGUAUAAUGUAUAAUAUAUAUCUAUAUAUAUAUACACACACACACAUCAACGUACUCAUUGCAUGUUUUCUCUCACAAAGGGAAUGAUUAUCCCCCCUUUAUUUAGAAGUAAACCAUUCCCUUCUCUUCGUAGGAAAACUCUCUAUAUACAAAAGUCUCUUUGAUUGAUGGAGCUUGUUGCUUAUGUCCGUUGUGGAAAUAGCAAGGGGAUGCAUGAGGUAUUUAUUGGUUGCAUACUUCUAGUGUAGAAGUAGCAAAGGGGUGCAUGUGUAUCAGUGUAUGUGAUAUUUCUUGCAUAUUUUUAUUGGUUGUUUAUGUUUGUUUUUUCUUUUGAUUAAAAAGACUUACCCUAAAUGCACAAAAAUAUAUGAGUAUUUUACUAUUUAAAUUAAAUAUAAUCCUAUCUACUAAUGAUGCAUGCUUGAAAGUGGGAAAUAUGCUAAUUUAUAAAAUGUAUUAAAUUCAUACCUUGAGAUUCACUAUUUCUCUUCCUUGUGCGGGAGUUAUUCCUUCUUUAGAAUUUCUUUAUCUUCCUUCUUUAUCAGCUUUUCUCACUACUUCCGUCGGUUUUCGUGAUGAUGUAGUGGAUGACAGCUCUCCUUUCUUGUGCCAUGUUGUUGGCUCUUGCUUUUCUUGGUCAGGUUUCUUCGUGUCCUCAACUACUUUCGGCUUCCUCACUCCUUUCUUCCUGAGUCGUCUCUUAUUUGCCUAUAUUGCAUUCGAAGGGGGCGAUCCACAAGAAAAAGCGAAUCUCUCUUUCUUUCCAGCAAAGUGGAAAUGAAUUUGUCCAGAAUCCACAAAUAUACAAGCAUCAAGAGUAGGAAAGGACGGGCUAGAAUGAGGGCCGUAUCUUCUCUAUUUCCUGUGUCUAGAAUCAUGAAUUUUGUAGGCACAAAGUGUAACAUCUUUGAUGUUAUGGACACUAAAACAUGCCAUGUCAUCAUGUGCACUGCAAAGCAUACAUGUGUAGUACACUAAGAUGCAUCAACUAAAAUAGGUUUAUUAUCUUAGUUUGUUUGUGCUUAAAUGGUUAGUGUGUGGUUUAACUCUUGGAAUGAUGCUUGUGAUGGUUAAGUGAUCCCUAAAUAUGGUGGGAUGCAAAUUAAGUGCUUAUGUGUUAAGGUAAACCCUAAUUUAAACCCACUACACCACAACCUUUAAACAGCGAUGGACAAUCCGUUGUUAUAAGGGGUGUGCACCAAUGGACAGUCCGUUGCUAAAGGCUAUAGCGAUGGAGCGCUGCCGUUGCUAUUGAAGCCGUCGUUGUAUGUAUACAGCGACGGACAUCAUAUUUAGCGACGGACAGUUCGACAGUCCAACCUUUAGCAACAGACAGUCUGUUAGAGCUUUUAGCAACAGACAAUCCAUCGCAAUAAGAACUUUUAGCAACGGACAAUCCAUCGAGCUCAAUUAAAUAGGUAAAAAAAUAAAAGCUGCUCUAAACGUAUAGCCGAUGAUCAAACAUUAGCCAUACCUUGGUUCACAUACACAAAAGUGAUGACAUUCAAAAGUGAUCAAAUUAUCCAUACAUUGAUUCUUGUAUCGACCUAGUACAUUAUAUAUGUAAUGUCACUUAAUAUGGAACUAGUCAAAACAUGAUGAGUAUCAAUCUGCAGCAACAAGAGGCAAAGGUGAUAUGCCAGGGUCUUAUAUACAUGUCACUUGCUAAUUAUAUAUAAUAGUCACUUGCUAAUUACCAAUUUCAUAUUACAUGUAAACCAUAGCUGCCCACAACACUCAUCAACCAUAUAAGAUAAGUUAUCUCAAGUUUUCAUUCAAGCCAACAUUACCAAGUCUGCUUGCACAAUUCAUGACAAGUCACCAUUAUACAAGGAACAACACACAUACAAUCUAGCUAAGUCAAAUGGCAGGCACAGGUCAUAUGUUGGCGUGCACAAUCUAACUAGUUAGAUUCACUACAAAAUGCCUCAUCUCCAUCUUAUCAAAAGCAAAAUGUCAUAUGUUUCCUUCCUCCAAGGCCUCCCUCAACCUGUAACAUCAAGAUGGCAUAGAAAAAAUUUUAGCAACAAAAUGAAUACACAUGUAUCUAUAUUUGUGUAUCCCUGAAAACAGCUAGCUGAAAAUUAGACUAGCGAAAUGAUUUGCAUACAAUACACCACAAUUUGCAUACUAAUUGUUCCUAUUUUUGCAUUCACUGACAAUUGCAGUUUAUUUACUCAAAAAAUUAGAAUCCAUAACAAAUUUUCUAAGGAUCAAUCUAAGUUUCAUGUAAGACAUCAGGCAGAUUUCAAUAUGAAAUAAAAAAAUAUAUCAUAAGCAACGACUAGGGAAACAGAAAUCUACCAAUACAAACAAGUAGAGCUGCUGCCAAGAGCACAUUCAAAUGCCUUUCCAAGGUGUCCAAUUACACGUAGAGCAGCUGCAAUUACAAUAUGAUGAUGUCAAACUUGGCUGGUAUAUAUCAACAAGUUCAGAGAAAAUUGGUACACGACAUAGUAUAUAAGUCUCUAGACUGUAGUCUCUUUGAGUCUCCCAACUUCAAUUUAUAAGUCACUCUAUCAAUUAGAUUCUCCCAACUUCAGCAGCAACAAUCAUCACUAUUCACACUGAUUCACACUAGUAGCAAGCAUCAGGCCAUUUCAACAGAAAACAGACCGUGAGCAUCAGACCAUGAGCAACAGGCCGUGAGCAACAGGCCAUGAGCAACAAGCAUCAGACUUUUCACAAGCAUGAGACUUUUCACAACAAAACUGAAAUGUGGUCAUUUCUCACAAGCAUCAGACUUAAGAUAGAAAAUAAUUCAGGUCACAACAAUGUAUAUUUGAAAACUUUGCAUCUUGUAACUGAAAACUUUGCAUAUUGUAACUGAAAACUUUGCAUCUUAAUGAUUUGCAUAUAAUACACCGCAAUUGAAAUAUAAAGACAAUGAGACUGAUUUUACUAAUGCAUUACAUCUCAUAACUAUAACUUUGUGCACGAGUGGUGGGCUAGGUCAGACAGACCCUGGAGCCUCUGCGCUAGAGCCCGGAGUUUCCACGCUGGCCAGAUCAGAAAAGAAUUCAGCACAGCUGGCUAUUUGUGGCUGGGAUAAUUUGAGAUGAGUAAGGUAGAAUGAGCACUUGGUCGCACCCCAAACCACUAUUAGUAUCAUGAGAUCUCCCAUGUUAAUUCCAGCCUCAGGAACCCCUAAAACUGAUGACAGUAUCUGAUGGAAAGCACAAGAUCCAGGCCAAGACCAGCCAGCAGAAAACGGAUCUUAACUAGCGCCGUGCACUCGGCAGCUAAAAACCAUGCCAAAACCACGACGAAGAUCCCAUCCCAAUCUGCUCGUAGGUAUAACUAGACGAGCGAUGGGGAUUAGAGCAGAAUCCAACCCAACCGAGUCUGGAUCUCGGAGAGAGGAGGUAGCAAGGAUCAUCACCCAACCAAAUCUUAGCUCUGCCGCCGGUUAAUUAUUUCCAUGUAUGUAUGCGAAGAGGAAAUAGUAGCAGUAGCAGGCAAAUCAAUCGCGGGAGGAGGGCAAGAGGAGAUUUGGGUUGUUGUUACCAUGUGAAGAGGAAGAGGAUGAGCGCGCAGGCACGAGAGCCUCCUGGCUUGAGCCCGCGGCCGCAGCAGAAGCAGCGGCUGGCGACCAUGAGCACGACCUGCCCAACGGCUAGGAGGAGCAGCGUGCCGACGUCGUAGCCCGUGGCGAUGUUGGAAUCGUAGACGCAGAAGUCAUACUCCUUACCGCUAGUGAGGGAGCGGACUCGGCGGACUGGAUCUGUGCGCUGGUGAUGGCUUCCCUCUCGGCGAGGAUGGCGACAGCGAGGAGGGCACCUACGGUGGCGAUGAUGGCAGUGGCUGUGGGCAGCCGUGGCGGCAAGGACGGCAACCACGAUAGCAACUCAGCCCCCAGCGAGCAGCAAUGGUGGAGAUCGGGAGAGUCAUGAGUUUUGUCUUGGAGAAACCUUGGAGCCUGGCGGCGGCGGCUGGGGGAUGGGUGGUUGGUGUCCUCACUGCUUAGGAUAGGGUUUCAGAUGUUAUGUAUGACAGGUGGGCCACAAAAAUUACUUUGUGCAAGAGUGGGCUGGGUCAGACAGACAUUGGAGCCUCGCUGGUCAGAUUGUAAUGCUUCAAAAAAUUUAAUAAAAUAUUUUAUGACUUCUCACAAUAUACCAUUUGUUAUAUGAUAAUAGUAAAUUGCUUAUUAUGACAUGGUAAAUAAUGUCACGAUAUUCCAUUACACUAGCAUUAAGACAUUUUUAUGACAUAAAUUAAUUAAAGUCACUAAGCUAAGUUGGCUCCACAAAAAAAGUCAUGAAUAUCAAUGUCCAAGACUUAUCUAAGGUUUAUCUUAAUUAAUUUAAGCCACUGCUUGGAAUUUAAUCAUACACAUAAAUUAAACCCAUAAUUUGUGACACUGUUUAAUCAUUCAUCACAAAUUAUUAUCAGCUAAGGUACAAAAUGUCACAGAAUAGGGCCUUGUUUAGUUCCAAAAAAUUUUGCAAAAUAGGAAUAGUACCAUUUUCGUUUGUAUUUGACAAAUAUUAUCCAAUCAUGUACUAACUAGACUCAAAAGAUUCGUCUCGUCAAUUUCGACCAAACUGUGUAAUUAGUUUUUAUUUUCAUCUAUAUUUAAUAUUUCAUGCAUGCGUCUAAAGAUUUGAUGUGAUGAGGAAUCUGAAAAAUUUUUGCAAAUUUUUUUAGGAACUAAACAAGGCCUACAGCUUUUCCGAUUGUUUCUUAUAGCGUCACUUAGGGUAUUCCUGCGGUAACUUAGGUUUACAGGUCGUUUUGGGCCAAAAUUUUUGAGGGGGUAGCCAAAAAACAUUGCAUAAAUGCUAUAAUUUGUUUAGCAACGGACAUUCUGACUCUGUUAUUGAUAUAUAGCAACUGAUCGUUCAAUGCAAAAUCAAAAUAUGUUUAGCAACAGACCAUCCAUCGUUGUAUUUGAUUUUAGCGACGGACAGUCUAUGGAUAAUCUUUAGCAACAGACCAUUCAACGCUAAUUUUUAACUUUAGCAACAGACGUCAGUUGCUGUUUUAGUGUUGUGGUGUAGUGACCCUAGAAAUUACCCCUUUGUGCAAUUCAAAACCUAAGCGAAAUCUAGAGUUGAGCCUAAAAGCAAAGUUGUAGAUCUAGUUGAGAUGUACAACUUUAGUGCUUUGAGUUUUUAAAGUUUCUAUGCAAAGUUCAAAGUAAUUUUGAAAAUACAGAUUUCUAGAAAGUGUCCCCCUUUGAUUUUAAACUUGUAUUUCAAAAUUUGUUUAGAACUUUGAAAUGUUGUCAAAAGCGAAGUUGUAGAACUUUUCAAAAUAAACAACUUUUAUUUUGGGAAUUUUUAAGUUGUUGAGUAAAUUUGAAACUAAUUUUGAAAUUCAGAACAGUCCCCAAUUUAAAUUGACUUGCCCCUAAAUUUGAAUUUGAAUUCUUAUGAUGUUUCACUCAAACUCACCUUCUUCCAGUCCAAACUAGCUUUGGGUACUUAAAUAUGUUUUGUAGAACUUUUUAUGAUGAACAAAUCAUAUUUUGGCCAAAAUUCAUGUUAUAUUUGAAUUUUUGAACUAAUUUUAAAAAUGAGAAGGAGGGAUAAGUCUGAGCUAUAGUGCCAUGACCAAUGGGCCACCGCCAGUGCCGUCUGCCGCUCGCCGUCGACGCCUCCCGCAUGUGCUCCACACAGCUGCAAGCCUGCUUAGCUCCACGCGCUCAUGCUGAUCCUCUCGCGGUGCUCUCCUCCUGGCCUAUAAAGGCCGGAGCCGGCAGCCAUCCCUCUCUUUCCCCCAACCUCAGGUGCCACGCCAGCAACCACGUGGCAGCCACGUCAGCUGCCAGCGUGGCAAAUGCCGUUUGGCAGCCUAACGGGACGACGUACUAUGACAAAAAAGUACACACCGAUGACGAAAACAAUACGUCAUAGAUUGAAUCCACUGUUCUGUGACGAUAACAUGUUUCGUCAUAGAAUGAAUGCACAUCUAUGACGAAAAUGUCCAUUUCGUCACUGUAGGCAAAAUGUGACGCGCGUUCCAUGACAAAAGCCGUUUCGUCACAAAAACAUCACAAAAUAUUUUAUGUGACGUUUCUGGAAUCUUCAGUGACGAAAGAGUAGCGUCAUUGUUGAGCACAUCCCUACUAGUGCUCGCCAUUGGUCGCCACCACCCGUCGCUCAAAUUCGCCUCCACCACUCCACUGGCAGCCUCCUGCUUCUGCUUAUAGUUUCAUUGUGUCCUUGUGCCUCUAGUGACCUCGCUCACAUGACCCCGGAGUGUCCCAACCACUGGUAAAGUCGUCUUCCUCCUCGCUGUCUAGAGCACCGUCGUGGCCCAGUUAAUCAGGGAUUUAAAACUUUUUGCUAUCCUUAUGGAGGCCACUCCUUCAAUUGCCAGCUUUAUACGCGCCCGUACGUUUUUGCCCCACGUAACAGUAAGUGUCCUAAGUUUUUGCCUUUUUUGCUGAUCUACCAUGCUAGAUGAGCAUGACAGCGUGGAUCCGAGCCUAGAAGCCCUAACUGGUCGAGGCAAAUGACCAUCCUACUCCUCCUUCAUUUCUUUGCCCCCAACCGGCCUUGUUCUGGGGAAAGACCCAUCCAGCCGCAAUCCACUCCCAUCCCGAGCCAUGCCCCUCUUCGCUCCCACUGUCUUCCACAGCGACGGCGACGGCCACUAUGACUGCGACAGCGGCUGCCCCUCUCCCGUGUGCACUGGCCCCCAUGACUCAGAGAAUGGAGCCAAGGUACUGCCUGCACUCUCUCUGAACCCUAUUCCCCAGCUUCCUUCCCAAAUCUCGUAUACUAGGGUUUCGAUUUCACUGGUGGUUUCGUCGAUUUGAUUGUAGUUCCGCUCUGCGGUAUCCAUUGUUGUUGAUGCUUAUGCGCUAAGAUGAAGUCGAGUGACUGCCAUCCUUGGUAAGUUUGUGUGCUGCAGUUUGGUAACCAGUAGUGUUUUGGAGUUGGAUGUCUGCCUAACUCCUCGUUCAUGUGUUUAUGAUUAUGUCAGGAUGAUCUUGGCAAUGCUUUUAGAAUCCAUGUUAGUGUUGAUAAGUACACAGUCAAAUCUGAUUAUGAUGGUUGUGUCGAAAUGGCUAGCCAGGAGCAUGAUGUUUGGCUUGAUCUUACUGGUAGUUGCUCUCUCUCUCUAAGUUUCUUGAUGAAAUGUCUAGAAAGAUCAUUUGGGGUAGCGAGCAGCAGGUAAUUGUUUGGGGUCUUGACAAAGAUAGUGGGACAGAAUGGAAGGUGACUAGUGAUGAGCAAUUUGGGGAAAUGAUAGAGGCUAGAUGGGAUGAGAAGGAAAUGGAUGUCAGCUGUGAAGUGAUUGACAAGGACAAGGACUCAUCCAGACAGGCUAGAUGGGAUGCAGGAAAGGCAAAUGUAACAAAUGAGCAAACUGUUCAUGGCACAUCAGGUGUAACAGCUGAGCAGUCAAAUUUUGAAUGCAUAGAUGAUGCUUGUAGCAGUCCUGAACAUUCUAAGUCAGAUGAUGUUGUCAUUGAUUGGUCAGCUUACACAAUAUAGCUUCCUUAUUCGUAGACAAAGCGGAUUCGGAAUUGUCUUUCCUACCUAAUGAAGAUUUAGAUGGUGAUGCUACUGUGCUAUUGGAUGAGGAACAAAUAUAUGAAACCAUGGGCUUCAAAGCUGCAGAUGAGGGCACAAAUGGUGGUGAAGGUACAAAGGAGAUUCCAGUCCUAGAGAUUUCACCUGAAUUGCAAGCAGAAAUGGAUGCAGCAGCUAUCCCUGUCAAUAACAAUCCUGACAUGGCGGUAGGCACAUUGUAUCCAUCAAUGCCUGAAUUCAGGUUGGCAGUCAAGCAGCAUGCUAUAGUCAAAGAGUUUGAGCUGGGCACAGAGAAAUCUGACAAGCAAAGGUUUAGGGGUUUCUAUAAAUCAGAAGGAUGCAAAUGGAUUAUUAGAGCUAGAACACUAAGGGAUAACAGUGUCAGGGUAUAUUACUAACUUUUUUUGUGUAGAACAUGGCACUAUUUGGUUUAGCUAACUUGUAGUCAUUGUAUGUGAUACUUCUUAGUUAAAUGGACUCUAAUUCUUGCUGUUUGUUUUGUAUCAUUACAGAUACAAAUAAACUCUUAUGUCCAUACUUGUGCCUCAAGGAGAAGAGUGCUUAAUAAGAUGGCAUCCCAAGGUUGGAUAGCAGAGAGAGCAGUGCCUCUGCUAAAAGACACUACUACAAAAAAAAAUUUGGGGGCAAAGGAGAUCAGAAAAGAGCUAGAGAAGCAAUACAAGAUCAAGAUAAAUUACCAGACUUGCUGGUAUGGUAGGCAGAGGGCUGCCGAUAAGCUUUUUGGUAAGUGGGAUGAUUCAUUUGAUUGGUUAUUUAGAUUCAAAGCAAAGGUAGAGCUUAGGUCACCUGGUAGUGUUGUUGAGGUAGACACUGUCAAAGUAGGAAACAAGGUUCAUUUCAGUAGAUUCUUCUGUGCAUUCAAGGGUAGUAUAGAUGGCUUCUUAGAGGGCUGCAGGCCAUACAUUAGUAUAGAUUCCACGGCUCUCAAUGGGCAGUGGAAUGGAUACAUGCCUAUAGCUAAUGCUAUAGAUCGGCACAAUUGGAUCUUCCCAAUAGCAGUUGGUUUCUUUGAUUUUGAGACCAAAGAGAAUUGGAUUUGGUUCAUGGAGCAGUUAGGCAAGGCUCUUGGUCGAUUAGAUAAACUGGAAGUGUGCACAGAUGCCUGCAAAGGCCUAGAGGCUGCAGUUAAAGAAGUUUUCCCAAUGGCAGAGCAGAGGGAAUGCUUUAGACAUUUGAUGGACAACUUGAAGAAAAGUUUUAAUCAAGGGAAAAGCAGUGGUAGCUUACUUGGUCAGUACAUGUGGCCUGCAGCUAGAGCUUACACAGAGGAGAAGUACCAGAGGCUCAUGGACAAGGUGAUUGUAGGAUCUGCAGAUAUCUUACCUUGGCUAAAUGAGCAUCACAAACUGCUCUGGGCUAGAAGCAAGUUCAGUCCAGACAUAAAGUGUGAUUAUAUCAACAACAAUCUAGUAGAUAGUUGGAAUGCUUGGAUCAAAGAGCUGAAAGACCUACCACUGGACCCCCUUGCAGAUGCAAUUAGGAUCAAGACAUUGGUCUUCUGGGAGAAGAGAAGGAAGAUUUCACUAGCUCUAUCUAGUGGCAUUCCUCCUACUGUCAUUCACCAGCUAAAUACUGCUAGCAAAGGUCUAGACCAUCUGCAGGUGACUAAAGGUAACAUGUCUACUGAAGUUACUGUCAUGUACAAGGGUGAUGAGGUGAGACGGCAUGUUGUGUACCUAGAAACAAAAGAAUGUACAUGUCGGGAAUGGUAGGUUAGUGGGAAGCCAUGCAGCCAUGCCCUUGCGGUCAUUACCACUGAAAGGCAGCCUGACAUGGAGAAAUAUGUGCAUAAGUAUUACUCUGUAAAGAAGUUGCAAGCAGCUUAUGCAGGUGAGAUACCCAAUAUAACAGACAAACAACAAUGGCCUGUUGUUGACAAGGGCUUCAAAGUGUAUCCACCAGUGGCCAAGAAAAAGAAAGGAUCUGGGAGACAGAAGAAGAACAGGAUUCUCAGCUGUCCGGAAAGAACAGGGAAGGCAACCAGGCAAGUGACAUGUAAGACUUGUGGUGAGCUAGGCCAUAGGGCAACUAGUUGGAGGUGUCCUGUAACAAGGACCAAAAAAAGGUAUGUUUAGUAUGCAAUUUCUUUUUUUUUUGUAACUAGACUUGUGUAUUUUAGUUACUAAGUAACUCAUGUAUAGAAAAAGGACCAAGAAGGUAGGAAGAAAGAAGCAGGCUGGGACGAAGGAAGAACCAACACCUGCCAACACUAAUGCAGCAACCAAAAAACCAGCAAGGAAAAAAAAGAAUACGGCCGAAGAACAACCACCAGAGGGAGUAGCACCGAUGGAGGCAACAACUCCAACGACCCCAAGACCCAGGGCUGCAGCAUCAAUAGAGGCAACAACUCCAAAGACCCCAAGAACCAGGUCUGUAGUAAGAAAGGAGGCAGCAGCAGUGCAAGCAUAGGCAGCAGCACAGGAAGCAGAGGCUGCAGCACCAAGUAGCAAGAGGUUUGUUGCAACCUUUUACUUAAACCCAUUUGCCCCUCUAGAAAGUAACACAAUGUAUUUUUUGAGAUGCAGGAGGUUGGAUUUAGAGGAACCACAACCACUAGAGGUUAUACCAGCAGAGGAAGCAGAAGCAAGACCACCUAAAAAAAUGACCCCAAGGAAGAAGCAACUUGCAACCAAAGUGAAAAAGACCACACCGACAAAGGAUGGGAACUAAAGCAUUCUGCAGUUCUGAGUGACUGUUUUUCUAGGAUGUAAUUCUUUUGUGUAUGGACCAGUAUUAUGUAUGAACUUGUAUGUGGCCUGACCGGCUAUUAUGUAUGGACCAGUUUGUAGGAGCGGUGUUUUUUAUGGAACUGAUGGAACUGAUGGUUGUGUGGGAUUAUGUAUGGAACAACCCUUUUAUUUCUAAGAACUCAUGGUUGUGUUAUGGUAAUUUGUGCCAAAUUCAAGUUAUGUGAUUGUGCUGCUUUUCUAGCAUUCAAAACAUACAUUUUGCUACCAAAAUGUUCAACAUGCAUUUCCAUAGCAUUAAUAAAACAUCUCAUCCAUUCUAUCAUUACAUGUUUAUCAUACACUUCGUACAGACAAUCAACAUCUUCAGUAGAGGGGAGAGCAGCGCAUGUAGCUUCUUCUCCAUGUCGAUGGGACUAGACUGUGGAUGGAUCUUACCCGAACAAGGUUGGCUGGAGGCAAAGAAAUGAUGGAGGGGUAGGAUGGUCAUUUGCCUCGCCCAGUUAGGGCUUCCAGGCUCAGGAUCCACGCUGUCAUGCUCGUCUAGCAUGCCAGAUCAGCAAAAAUGGAAAAAACAUAGGACGCUUACUGUUACAUGGGGCAAAAACGUAAGGACGCGUAUAAAGCUGGCAAUUGAAGGAAUGGCCUCCAUAAGGAUGGCAAAAAGUCAAAAAUCCUGGUUCACCGUGGCCAAGGCUCUCUAGAGCGUCUUCUUCCUCACUGAUUUGCGCUACAGCUCCACUUUGAGUCGCUGAUGCUCAUCGGCUCUUUUGCUCUAUACUACACAAGAUGUGACGAGACGUGGUCUCGCCGCCGGUUCACGUCACCGUUGUUGCGCUCGACGUCGAUAGUUCUGUCCCGCUGAAGCUCUAACUCGUCCAAGCUACGCCCCUUCAUCUGGGUGAGCUCCUAACGCUCUUCGACCUCUUAGUUCAUGCUCUACUAGCUCCUAGUGGCCGGCGUUGAGCUCGCAGCACCGCGCCGUGCCAGCCAUGGUCGUGGAUAGGGGUAGAGGAGUGCCGUAGAGGGUCAGAUAGUCAGUGUGAUCGAUGCACCUAGUCUCCAGGGUGUCGUUCGGCCAGCACCUCACCAUCGGCGAACCAAGGCGUUGUCAACGCCGGUGGCCUUAGGUCAACAACGGAGGUGAGGGAUGACAAGUAGGGUCUCCCUAUCAGCGACGUAGAGAGAGGGGGAGUCACACGCGGGGCAGUGGGCCGAGGAAACAGGCCGGCCAGUGCACAAUGUUGUUUCUCUUUUUCCAAAAUAUUUCAAAAUGAAUUUUGUAUAUAAAUUGGUAGCAAAAUAAUGGCAAGUCCAAAAAUUAUGAAAAGUUUUGGAUAUGCUCCGAGUACUGAGUAGAACAUAGAAAAAUAUGAGAUGUCAAUUUAGAGUACUUUUUCUUCAUGUUUUCAAAAUAUGCCUUUUAAUUAUUAAAUGAAGUUUCCUUGAUUUUUGUGAAUUAUUUCAGUUAUCCACAAAUCCCAAUUUUUUGUGGGGAGCCACUAUGAGUCAUAACCUUUGUGCACAAAAAUUUUGGUGUAGUUUGGACAAAGUUUAAUUCAUUCUUUAAUUCAUGCUUAAUUAUUAAUUUAUAAAUAAUUACUUAAUUAUUAAUCUAAAUUCAAAUUUAGGAGUUGAGUGACUUUGAGAACAUGUGAUGACCUAAGGACAUUAAUGACAUUUGGCACUUUACUUAUUGUUUGAGCAUAAUCUUUAAUUAUUUUUUAUUCUUAAUUAAGAAUUAAUUAUAAUAAGUAAAAUCAAGUUAUUUAUUUAAUUAAUAAUAACCCAAGUUUACGAAAAAACCCUAAGGGUUGUUGAUGCAACCUCUUAGGCAAGGAAAGACUUAGUGAUAAAUGAUCUAUGUUUACUUUAGUAGCUUGCAAUUGUACCACAAAGGAAAGUUAUACUCAACUAAACCCUUCUCAUGUUUUGUCAUGAGCAUCUCAUAAGCAUGAAUCAUUUUCGCAUAUAGUGCACGUUUCUGAAGAAGUGAUCGUUGAGUCCGACCCUAAGGCCAGUGCCGCAUUAGAGGAAAUCGAGACCGAAACUUGGGAAGUCCUUGAGGAACUCACUUACCCCGACAACCAAGGCAAGCCCCAGAUGCAUUAAACCCUUCCUUGUGUUUCAAAAAGCUUUACUACACUUUAUGAUGAUAUGUUGCAUUAGGUGUUAGCAAGUGAUUGAUAACCUACUUGAUGCAUUACCAUCCUUGAUAUUCGUUAUCACCCUUGGUACCUGUUUUAGUUGAAAAUGUGUAGUAUGCUUAGCCCUGCUAAAUAAAAGAACAACUUUAAAGGUUUUAUAAAGUUUGAAGGGUUGUUGUGGAAUAAAGGAUUAAAAAGAAGGUAUUAUGUGAACUUGAGGCAUGACAAAACAUGGAAUGUCAACACCUCUUGUGUUUGGCACGGUCAGGUUUCCCUCCUACGCUAGUUUCGUCUGUGCCGGUUAAGGACUGUUUGUUGUAGACCUAUUUUUGUGGUCAAAACCUUAAACUAUCUGCAUACUUUGUAAGCCUAACAUAUCGAAUAUUCUAUAAUGAGAGCGGACAAAUGCGCACUAGGAGUGGAGAGAUAGCGAGAGUAGCGUGUACACACCUGGCGGUACCGUCGUGUAGUCUCUAGGAGGUGGAGUACUGUACUCUCGGGUGGCAUUGGACCCGCUCAUGUUAUGGAGGAUCUGGGUGAAGGUUGAUAUCUGCAAGAUUUGCUUCUAAUAUGUCAUGUGGAUUAGAGAUUCCCAGUUGGGUAUAAUUGUGUUGAAUCUUGCUAAACCUCACCUUGUACACCUUAAGCCUGCAUCCUUGAGUUUACUUCUCCUUUUCCGCCAAGUAAGUCUUGCAGAGUACUUUGUACUUAGGGUUUGUUAACCCCUGUUGCAGGUGAGGGUCAUGAACAGGUGUGCUUUGGAGCAUGUUGCAUGACUGUGGUGGAGGUUGACGACGAGGAGUAGCUGUGUGACCCGUGGGCAGGGUGUCACAUUGUGUGUGCUUCUUAUGUUUAAUUAUUGCUAAUCCACAGCUAUGGUUUGUAAUAAUACUAAACUUAUGGUUUGUAAGGUUUGAACCACUAGUUUGUAAACUUAAGGUUAUGUAACACUUUCGCACUUUUUCCGAUGUACUUUAUAUGAAAAAUUGUUGUAAUGUUGUAGUCUGUCUGUAAUGACAAGUCCUGGUGAGUCAUGGCUAGUCCUAGUGAGAAGCCCAUAAUUGACGUACUUGGCUUCGCCGACAAGCCAACGAUCGAGAUAUUAGGUUCUACGGACAAGCCAAUGAUCGUGGUGCUAUCGGGUGCAUUGACACACCUGAUAGGACAUUGGGGUUACGUGGGACUCUUGCAAAGCGGUCAGAGGUCUAUGAGAGAACGACCGAGCAUGUAGACCCUAGGAGGUUCUGCCUCACAAAGUUGUUUCUAACUUUUACCAAAAUAUCACAAGCUACUCCCUCUACAUAUCAUGUGGAUUGAUCAGCUAGUUACACACAUAAACAGAGGUGGGAGCUAGGUGUUGGUAGAAUAUUUCAUCAUUUUUUUCAUUAGAUAUGAUGUUUAUGUUGGAUCCAAGAUCACGGAUGGCAUUUUGAAAAACAUGGUUGCCAAUUGAGCAAGUAAUGGUAGGACUACCUAGAUCAACUUUCUUAAUUAUAGCUGAAUUAUCUAAUAAUGGAGUUCCUCUAGAAUAUAAUAUAGUAUUGUACCUUGCUCCAUAGUCAUUUUAGACUUGCCUGGUAUUCUUCCUUUUUCAAAAGAUAGGAUUGGGACUGCUAGUUGUGCUAACUAGGUUUCUAACAUCUUGUUGAAACUAAGUUGAUUUUUCAUAGUAGAAGAGAAAUAUUCCCAUUUAGCAUUAAUGUUUUCUAGCAUCUUAUCAUUAGCAUGAAGUCUUUUAUUUAUGGUUUCUAUCAUUCUUCAUUGACUAUAAACAAGAUCUUUAAGGAAAGGAUAACCAUUACCUUGGUUAUUUGGGUGCUGUGAAUAAUUAAUAUUAAAAUUAUUAACUUGAGUAUUGGAGCGCUGAUUCCAUCCUUUAUUUUGACGAUGAAAUCCAUUGUCAUUGUUGACAAAGUUGAGAUGUUUAUGGGUCUUAGGACAAUGCUAUCCAGAAUGGCUAGAUUCUCCACAAACUUCACAAGUCAUGUGGGACUCCAAAGCUUGAAUGGUUUCUUGGGUGCUCAUCUUCUCACAAUUUUCUAGCCUCUUGGCUAGCAAGUCCAUCUUGGCUACAAUCAUGUCAGCUUCCUUAAGAUAAUGCAUACCUCUCUUGUGGGGUUGUAGAUGUUCAUCAUUCCAUCCUUGGAUGCACACCAUCUUUUCUAUCAAUGCCUGUUGACACCGUUUUUUGACGUAAGUCAAAGUAAACUAAUCGGCAGACACGAAGAUACGAUGUUGAGUUGAUAAGAAGAUCACCGAUGGUCAAUGGUGCCGAUGGCAGGGUAAUGGGUGAAGGAAGAUGUUGCUAAGCUUGACGGUAGCCGCUGAUCAUUGCUGAUUGGUUGCCGAUGUUGAUGAUUGUCGAUGCCGAUGAGGAAAGGUAUGGGAGUUGGUAAGGAUACAGGGAGUAUGUCGAUGGUGAUGAAAGGAUAUAGGGAGUAUGCUGAUGAUGAUAAAGGGAGACGUGGGAGUUGCUAGGAAGGCAAUGGUGAUAUGCCGAUCACUAGGAUAGAUAGGUGGUUAUUUUCCAUAUUUGUUAGAGUUUGCCUUAUGUAAGAGUCCUGUUUGGUUUAGAAUUAAAUCCUAGUCGUAUACGGUUGUAACUCUUUAGGAGAGAGUAUAAAUAUAGGCCUAGUAGCAAUGUAAGAGGACCCAAUCAAUAUCAUACACAAGUUUUACAUCUACUGUUACAUCUACUUUUUCGACGACUUCGUCAACUUGCACGUUUUCUUUUAUCUAUGAGUUCUUAAGGAUUCAUCGAGCAAUACUCGACGAAUUCUCGAGUUCCGCAUGAAUACCUCUUGGCCGUGGCAUCUGGGCGCAUCGCUAUUGUCGAGACCAAAGUAUUUGAGUUAUCACCUUUGUCGAUUGUUAGGUCAAAUCGGCUGGCACGCCUCAUUGUUUGAAUCGGGUAUUAGCCCUUUGUGUUUGCAGAUCUAUUUUUGCAUCAACACAUCUUUUGGUACGCCUGGUGGUACAAAUCUAUCAACAAAAUCAACAUAGCUACUGCUGAUCUCGACACGGAGAACGUCAUUGUUGUGACAGAAUCUGAUCUCAGGGACGAGCAGAAGUAGGCUAUGGAGAGGGCUAUGGAGGAAUACAGGCAGCUUUGCUUGAAAUCCUUCAGCGUCAACACUAGUGGGGAAGUUAUCCAGAAGCAAGAUCUGCCGAUGCCGCGGCAAGUUACUUUUGAUCCCAAUCCUGGUAAAUUGCAAGACAUGGUUGACAUUGCUAUUAAUCAUGCCUUGAUUAAUCACUCCAAUGUGUUAUCCAAUACUGUUUAUAAUGUUGUGGCUAGAACUUUUAAAGAAGGACAGACACCACCACUAUAUGUUGGCCCGACCUAUCAUCAGCCAGGAUUGUCAUCAGUUAUGGCUCCAUCGGCUCCUCCGGCCGUUGCGGGUACAGAAGCUACUUCUCCUCCAAGCACAUUAGGGUUGACUAAUGAGCAAUCUACACCGAUGAGACCUAAUCCAACGACAUUAGGGGGACGGGUUCAGCUCAACACAAAUCUAUCAGCAUCGGCAAUGUCAGGAUCUAUGUUUUAGAGUUGUCAAGUUCCUCCUAAUUGGUGGGAUAUGGUAUGCCUCCAGACUUUUGUACAAAUAGUUCUGGAACAUCUCAGAUAACUGACUUAGCAGGGAAGGCUCCUACGACAUCGGCACCUCCAGUUUCGCCGAUGACUCAAAUUCCUCAGUAUUCAACAACUACUACUACAAGACCUGUUACAGGGAACUUUCAAAUGCCGACGUUCCAGAUGCCUAAUGCAAAUUCAUCGGCUAAUCCAUUGCCAACUCAACAGAGGUUUGUGACUCAAUCAGGUUAUGCCAACCCAGCAAUGACAAUUAAUUAUCAACCAUCGGCAGGACCUAUGCCGAUGAACGCCAAUAAUGGUUGGACAGAACAGUCAUUUUUUCGACAUGUGACACAGCAGAAUCACCAGGUUGCGGGAUUCCAGCAAGGACAGAUGCAGGCCGGUUUUCAGAAUCAAGGAUUGGUAAAUUAGCCGAUGAAUCUCGCUCAACAGAUUGGUGGUCAGCAAGCUAUGGCCAAUGUGAUAUUUCCUGGAGACCGUGUACCCCAGAGACAUGUGGAAGCUUAUCAGUAGGUGCCAGAAAUUCAACCCGCACAUCGGCAGGAUGCAGAUGCCUAUUGCGCCGAUAAGAUAGCAGAAGUUAUGAGAGACCAGUUUGGAAUAAAACCUAAGGUAGACACUUAGUCUUAUCAGACACUGUAUCCUCCUGCAUAUGAUUUGAUUUCGCUUCCCAAUCGGUACAAGGUACCAGAUUUCACUAAAUUCUCUAGACAAGAUGACACAUCAACCAUGGAACAUGUUAAUCGGUUCAUCAUUCAGUGUAGAGAAGCUACUAAUAGAGAUGAGUUAAGAGUUCAUCUGUUUUCAUCAACUCUGUCGGGAUCAGCAUUUACCUAGUUUAUUUCGUUGCCUCCAAACUCAGUCAUUACAUGGGCUGAUCUAGAAAAGCAGUUUCACAAGUAUUUCUGUUCUGGAGUUCAUGAAAAGAAGAUUACCGAUUUAGUAAGACUGAGACAACGUAAUGAUGAAUCGAUGGAAAGCUUUGUGCAGAGGCUGAGAGAUGUAAAAAACAAGUGUUACAGCCUGGUUCUGGACGAUCGGCAGUUAGCCGAUUUGGCUUUUCAGGGGUUGUUGCCACAUAUCAAAGAUAAAUAUGCUUCUCAAGAGUUUGAGUCAUUUGGUGCAGAGGAUUUCUGAUCAGGAUAUCAAGGCUUAUGAUCCUACAAAACCCUGGAAUAAGAAAGUGUCAUUUGUUGAUGAGGCAAUGAGUUCUGAUUAUGAUGAAGAACCCGUCAUCGGCUUGGCAGAGUGGGUAAAAAACAAAAAGCCGAUGUCUUGUCCUUUUGGUUAAAAAGAACCAGAAAAGUUUGCUUUUGAUAUCACCAAGGCCGAUAGGAUAUUUGAUUUCUUGCUUCAGGAGGGGCAGAUUAAAUUGUCACCUAAUCAUGUGAUCCCAUCGGUAGAGGAGUUAAAGAAAACCAAGUAUUGCAAGUGGCAUAAUGCAACAUCGCACAGCACAAAUGAGUGCAAAGUGUUUAGACAACAAUUGCAAUCAGCUAUAGAAUCUGGGAGAAUCAAGUUUGAUAAUUCCAAAGCUCAGAAGCCGAUGAAAAUUGAUCAACACCCUUUCCCUGCAAAUAUGUUGGAUGCCAAAGGUAAGACUAAGGUCUUAACGUCAGAAACAGCUGAAAAGAACACAUCGGUGGAUCCUCAGCAUCAAGUAACCACCAAUGAUGCCAAAGGCAAAGGCUUGGUCAAGGUGGGUAGCAGCUCUGGACAGCCUCCCCGCUCUGGCAUUGUGAUUACUCAUAGGCGGCAUCGGGAGACUUGGCAGCAGCAUGAGGAUCGGUAUCGGCGUCAAAAAGAGGAGAGGGAGCGAGAAGAAUGGAAUGGGCAUAAAGAUCACUAGAAUUGCCCGUUCUUCAUUCAUUGUUGGGAACAAAAUAUUAAAUUGCCAACUAACAGAGACUGUCUUGAGUGCAAUGGUUAUCAUUGGUAUGAUCGGUCAGAUCAGAGAUUCCAGAACAACGAUCGACGUUUCGAUGGGCUGUUUAGGGGGAGAAUGUCAGUUCAUGAUCGGCUUGGGGGCAGGCUUAGUGUGCAUGACAGGCUUGGUGAACUUGUUGGUCAUUUUCCAAGGAACCAAGAGGAACUUGAAGAAAUGGCAGAUGCACGGGUUCCCAAUGAAUUUAUAUUUUGCAGAGAUGCCAAUAUUCAUCGGGUAGAAUCAAGGGAAGUUCGCUAUCAGCCAGUGUGGAAGACAAAGCUUCCCCAAUGCUGCUCAGAAGGAUUAACGAGGACGCAGAGAAGGAGGAUGCAGCGAGAACGCCAAGAAGAUCUGUAUAGAGAGGAGAAUUCUUCCAAGUCUAAGGAUCGGCAAUAGUUGGACCGCAAGGGGAAAGGACCAUCGGCAGAUGUUAACAUGGUAUUUGUGUUGCUCAUGGAGUUUCUUGCGCCCUUACUGAUGAUGAGGAAAUAAGUAUCCCUGAUCGGAUAGCUCAGUUGGCACUAGAUCCAAUGACAGCUAUUUUUGAGAAGCCUUCCGAUGAUGAAAGACAGCAUCUUAAAGCUUUGUUUGUCAAAGGCCGGGUUGAUGGGCAGCCGAUUUCCAAAAUACUUAUUGAUGGGGGAGCUACAAUUAACAUUAUGCCGUAUGUGAUGUAUCGGAAGCUUGGCAAAGGAUAUCAGGAUUUAACCGAGACUGAUAUGAUGUUGAAGGAUUUUGAAGGAAAUGUGUCUCGAGUUAAGGGAGCUAUAUGCGUUGAAUUAACCAUUGGCAGUAAGACUUUGCCGAUGACCUUCUUUGUUAUCAAUGGAAAAGGUGACAAAAUUGAAGUUGUCCUGGGAGAUUCUUCAUAUGUCAUUGCAUCGGCAGAAUCAGACACCUAUGAGCGGACCAGAUGCAUAUGAGGAGAAGUUUGGGAGAAAUAUUUCCUCAAGGUUGCCGAUUAUGAAAUUCCACCAAUCCAAGCAGUCGGUUCUGAUGAAGAGUUUUAAUGGAUAGAUUCGCCGAUGAUGGAAUGUUAGGACAGAGAUUUACAUCGGCUCAUGAUUUAAUAGAAGUAGAUAUAGGAAGAGGUGAUAGGCCAAAGCCUACGUUUAUUAGUGCUAAGUUAGAUUCUGAAUGUAAGCAGCAAUUAACCGAUUUGUUAAAAGAAUAUAAAGAUUGCUUUGCUUGGGAUUAUACCGAGAUGCCUGGUUUAGACCGAUCAAUUGUUGAACAUCGGUUGCCUAUUAAGUCUGGAUUUCUGCCACAUCAGCAGCCAGCACGCCGAUGUAACCCUAAAAUUCUUCCUGAUAUUAAGGCCGAAAUAACCAAACUCAUUGAGGCUAAGAUUAUUCGGCAGUGUCGGUAUGCCGAGUGGAUUUCUAAUGUUGUUCCUGUCUACAAAAAGAAUGGAAAGCUUCACGUUUGCAUCGACUUUAGGAAUCUCAGUAAAGCUAUGCCGAUUGAUGGUUAUCCAAUGCCAGUCGCCGAUUUGUUAGUUGAUGCUGCAGCUGGACAUCGAAUUAUUAGUUUCAUGGAUGGCAAUGCAGGGUAUAAUCAAAUAAUCAUGGCUAAGGAGGAUAUUCCCAAAACUGCAUUUAGAUGUCCUGGUCAUGUUGGGUUGUUUGAGUGGAUAGUCAUGACUUUUGGCUUGAAAAAUGCUGGUGCUCCUUAUCAGAGGGCCAUGAAUUUCAUUUUCCAUGAGUUCAUCGGCAAGUUGGUAGAAAUAUAUAUUGAUGAUGUGGUGGUUAAAUCUGAAGAUUUCAUAAAACAUCUAGCCGAUUUCGGAAAAGUACUCGAGUGCACAAGGAAACACGGUUUAAAGAUGAACCCUAAUAAAUGUGCAUUUGGUGUAUCGGCAGGUCAGUUUCUGCGUUUCCUGGUGUAUCAGAAAGGAAUUGAAAUUAGCAGGAGAUCCAUUGAUGCAAUCAGCAAAGUAGUUGCUCCUACCAACAAAACUAAACUUCAAUCAUUGAUCGGCAAGAUUAAUUUUAUCAGACGAUUUAUAUCCAAUCUGUCAGGUAAGAUCCGAGCCUUCAGCCCUUUGCUUAAAUUAAAGGCCGAUCAGGAAUUUGUAAAGGGAAAAGAGCAACAAUUAGCCUUGGAUGAAAUUAAGAAUUAUUUGGCAAAUCCUCCAAUCUUGGUUCCACCUCAGCAUGGAAAGCAAUUCAGAUUAUAUUUAUUCACCGAUGAUGCGGUCAUCGGUUCAGCCCUCAUUCAAGAAUUUGAAGGGAUAGAACGUGUAAUUUAUUACCUAAGUAGAAGAUUGGUGGAUGCUGAGACAAGGUAUUCGGCAGUUGAGAAAUUAUGCUUAUGUUUGUACUUUUCUUGUGUCAAGUUAAGACAUUACUUAUUAUUGGGCAAUAUGUACUAUCAUAUGCAUGGAUGACAUAGUCAGAUACAUGUUGUCGAUGCCGAUUAUGAGUGGUAGAAUCGGCAAAUGGAUACUAGCAUUAUCAGAAUUUGACUUACGUUAUAAAUCGGCUAAGGCAGUUAACGGGCAAAUCAUGGUCGAUUUUAUGACUCAGCAUUGUGGUGUGGUGGAUACUUUGGAGAUUGUUCCUUGGACACUCUUCUUUGAUGGAUCUACAUGUGAUCGAGGGGCAGGUAUCAGUAUAAUAUUGAUUUCUCCUCAAGUUAAGAAAUAUGAGUUUUCUUUACCGAUUGUUACUAUAUCAACAAAUAAUCAAGCUGAGUACCUAGCCCUAAUCAAAGGGUUAGAAUUAUUAAAAGAAGCUCAUGCCGAUGUUGUCGAAAUCUUUGGUGAUUCUAUGCUUGUUAUAAACCAGUUGGCUGGGAUUUAUGAAUGCCAAAGUGAAGUUUUGAUAGCAUAUUAUGAUAGGUGUAUACAAUUAUUGAAAGAAUUUAGAGAUUUUCGAUUAGAGCAUAUUCCUCGGUUGCAUAAUGAAGAAGCUAACUGGUUGGCUCAACAUGCCUCGGGAUAUCAACCCAUCUUGGAAGUAUUAUCGACAGUCAGUGCCGAUGAUUGGAGAAAAGAAAUUAUUGAUUAUUUAAAAUAUCCAUCUAGAAAAGUUGAGAGACGUGUUAGGUUUCAAGCUACAAAGUAUGUACUCCUUGAUGAGGAAUUAUAUUAUCAUACAAUAGAUGGAGUUUUUCUUAGAUGUUUAAGUGAUGAUGAGUCCAGAAGCUUGAUGGGUGAAAUUCAUGAGGGAGUAUGUGGGGCACAUCAAUCAGCUUUUAAAAUGAAGUGGAUGAUUAGAAGGAAUGGAUACUAUUGGCCGACUAUACUUGAGGAUUGUUUCAAGUAUUUCAAAAGGUGUCAAGGAUGUCAGAAGUUUGGCAAUAUUCAAAGGGCACCCGCAUCGGCUAUGAAUCCUAUUAUGAAACCUUAGCCGUUCCGGGGUUGGGCUAUUGAUCUCAUCGGUCAAAUUUAUCCGCCAUUGAGUAAAGGGCAUAAGUUUAUCCUUGUUGCCAUUGAUUAUUUCACUAAAUGGGUUGAAGCUGUUCCUUUGAAAAAAGUGACAUCGGCCAACAUGAUUGAUUUUGUAAAGGAGCAUAUUGUUUACUGAUCUGGUAUUCCCCAAACAAUCACUACCGAUCAGGGCACUAUGUUUACGUCAGGGGAGUUUCAUGAAUUUGCAAUCAGUUUGGGGAUUGAAGUGUUGAAUUCUUCUCCUUACUAUGCUCAAGCCAAUGGACAGGCCGAAGCUUCCAAUAAUUGAAUUAUUAGGCUCAUUAAAUGAAAGAUUGAGGAAAAUCUCAGACGAUGUCAUACUCUGUUAAAUGAAGCCUUAUGGUCGUAUCGGAUGGCAUGUCAUGGUUCAACCAAAGUUUCACCUUAUCAACUGGUGUAUGGACAUGAUGCAGUACUACCUUGGAAAAUUAAAACUGGUUCUAGGUGAAUGCUUUCUGAGGAUCAGUUAACUGCCGAUGACUAUACUACUGUGAUGAAAGAUGAGUUGGAUGAUUUAGCAGGGUAUCGUUUAAGAGCUUUAAUUAGUAUAGAAGAGAAUAAAAAGAGAGUGGCUAAGUGGUAUGAUAAAAAGGUAAAGGCCAAGGAGUUUGCUGAUGGGGAUUUGGUUUGGAAAUUAAUUUUACCAAUUGGAACUAAAAGUUCAAAAUUUUGAAAAUGGUCUCCUAAUUAGGAAGGUCCUUAUAGGAUAAAUCGGUCUGCCCCAGGCAACACCUAUAUUUUAGAAACUCUCGAAGGAGCUGAAUUUCCCAGGGCGUUAAAUGGAAACUACUUAAAAAGAUACUACACCAGUAUCUGGGUUGAUGCAUAAAAGUAUAUAUGCCGAUAACAGUCCUAUCAGCUGGACGAAAUGACAGUGUGUAUGGAGCAACACAUAAGAAUUUUAGGUGCCGAUAACAAUCCUAUCGGCUGGAUCGAAUGUUGGUGUUUUCAAAAACCGAUGAGACAUACUGCCGAUGAAAAAAUUACAAAUUUAAUAAAGUCUGGAUAGCCGAUAUCGCACGCAGGCGAAUCUGAUUGGCUUCCUCUAUUUCUUUGGCAUCUUCAUCGGCUGAGCCUUCCACUGGUUUCAACUUUUUCUUCAUUUGCAAUGCCUUGCGAGCUUGUGCAUCCCUCUCUUUUUGAAGAUUCUUGAGCGCAUCGGGCAGUUGACUUUCCUCCUGUUGAGCCUGGGACAAAGCUUCCUCCACUUGUUUAAGCUCAGUAAGCAAGGCUUCUCUUCUUGCCGAUAGAUUAGAAAUAUUCUGUUUUAAUUCAUCACCUGAAGAUUGCAGAAUGCCGAUGCUCUUAUGCUUCUCAUCGGCAACGUGCUUCACUUGCAGCAUCUCCUCUUUAAGCCGGGUGUGAGUGGCUCUAUCGGCAAGGCGCUGGACGGCCUUUUGGUAUUGAAGGUGGCGACUCUCCAGGUGAGCCGCUUGGAAGAGCAUCUCCUCAACAUUAGCAGGAAUUUGACCAUGGGGAGUCUUGAAUAUGACUUUGGCUGGGUCAGAAUCAUCCACCAGCUGAGCUGUGUGUUGCUACAACAGGGCCAGUAAAUCUUCCAGCUUGGACUUGAUCUCUGCCGAUGUGAUUCCAAGCGCCAAUGAGGAUUAUGCCUCUUCACCUUCAUUAUCAGAGAUGUCGAUGGCAAAGGAGAACAAACUAUUGGGAGAGUCUUGCUCCUGAAAGAAGGAGAGAAUAGGUUAACCAGGAUUAAGCAUCAAUAAUGCAAAGUCUGAUGGAUCCGGUGAUUUACUUGUUUUAGAGCAAUUUCUUGUCUCUGGCGUGGAGAUAUAGCUUGCACUAUAAUUUGAUCGGUUGGGGCUACCGAUGGAAUAUCUUCAACUGAAAAUUACCAAGGGUGACGAUGGUAUUUAUAAAAGAAAUCAUCGGUAAUGAUUCUAUGAUCGGUACUUUACCUUGAGGAGGGAUAGCAACUGUCUGUUUAGGGGGAACGGCUGAUGAUGUGCCUAGGUCAAUUGGAUCGGUAAUAUGCUCAGAUACAUCGGCUGGGUCCGCUUGCGUCUGGGGUGCUAGAUGUGGCGGAGAAGAGGGCAUUGCUUGAAUCUGGGUUGCUGGAUGAGGUGCAGAAGAUGGUGCUGUUUUCUACCGGUUUGGCUGGGUCUUGGUGCUUUCUGGGGCUUUCCUCUUAGGUGGAGCUUGAUUGGACUGGGGGGCAUCGGCACCCGAUGAUUGAGCGCUUUUGGUCUCUGCCAAUGCGCUGGUCUGCUAUCACAAAAAUCAAAGUUCUAUAGGUUAGAUAUAAAAGCAGAGAAAAAUUGUUGGAAUUUGAAAGAAUAGAAUGCUUGGUACAAAACAAAGUUACCGAUGACGUUCCAGUCGUAGCUGAUGCACCCUGAAAGAAUAAUGUGAAUAUGAGAUGAAAUCGGCAUAAUAAAUAGGAAAUUUGAACAUUUUACCUUGAAAGCCUGUGCUAGCGUAGCGGCAGCUACCGAUGGGAAAGUUUUUGACCGUUUGGUGGUUUUCUUGAAGCGGAUGUUUCGGUGCAUCAGGACUGCUAAGCUCGGGGCGUUGUGGCCGAUCAGAGAAACUGGGGAUGAUGGGAGAAGGUCGAUCGGCCUCCCACUUCUGCUUACUAUCGGUGCUGGGUCAUCAACCUGUUGAAAUAAAAGGGGGUAAGUUACUGAUAAAGUUAAAGUUAACAAAAAGGACUGAAGUAUCGGAAAGGGACUUACAACGUCAUUGGGGACUUCAUGUUCGGGAUCGACCAUGUUGCGAUACAUAUGAGCCGAUACCUUGAACAGAUGCUCUUUCCAUUCUUCCCACCACCGUUUGUAUGACUGAGUAAUGAAAAGGGCUGGAACCCAAGCCGAUAGAUCAAUAUAUGUCGUAUCGGCAUCUGUCUGGAGUUGAUCUAUUCUGAUCCACUCAAGUCCACUGGUUAUUAUCUCCCUCGGCUUGACUACGGCAUAACAAAGUUUAAUGGGUAGCUGACCAAAAGCUAGCUGAUGAGCUAGUGCCGAUGGGUUGUAGAACUCGUAGGUUGUGUUGGUGUUAUUUCCGCUGCCGAAGUUGUUUACUGGGAUUGCUCUUGGGGUAAUGGUUGCCAUCAUCAAAUCAUUGUUCUUGUUAAGUGCGUCAUCAGCAGGGUGGAAAGUGAGUGGAAAUCUAGACUCUGCAUUUUCAUAAGGCAUCCUGGCUCGCUGAUCUUUGGAAAGGCCGUCAUACAGUGUUUGAAAGAAUCGGCCGAUGUGGUUCUCGUUUGCAUCGGUACCGGGGAGAACUAUGAUGGCUUCACCAUAAUUGAGGGGCGAGCGUGUUGCCGAUUCAUCCUCUGCUAGUUCAUGAUCCUCAGUGAUGUCUCGUGGGAACUGUUGUACGAAGAAAUCCCACCGAAGGCGCUUGUGCAUGUGGGCAUUAAGCCACAUGUUAGUAAACCACUAGGGGCCUCCCAGAUUGCCGAUCGGUUCUCCUAGCAGGAGUUUCUGAGUUACUUGAUGGAGGAGGUGAUAGACAAAAACCAGGAGGUAUCGGCCAAGGGGGAAUCGGUUACCAUUGGCUAGUCGCUCUGCUGCCAAUAAGUAAACAAAGGUUGGCCCUAUUAAUCGGCCACAUAAGAUGAACUUGUCUAACCACAUAUUCAGAAAGAUGGUGUGCUCUCUCUGGCCGAUGAUCUAGUUUGCCGAUAUUUCUAGACAUAUCCUGACCAACCGCUGAUGUUGCAGAUUUCUACUUUAUAUUUGGUUUUGCGGUUAAAAAUACCACCAUCAUCAGUAGUUGCAAUAUCCAAGCCAGUAAGCAUGACAACAUUGGCAAGUGUGGGGGAAGCUGGGCCGUGACCAAAGAUAAAAGCAUUGAAGGUGUCUGACCAAAAAUAUGAAGCUGCUAUCAUCAUCGACUCGUUCUUCUCCAUAUCGGCAAUGGAGAGUCUAAUACAUUGGUCUAAUUUGCAUUCCCCCAGUACGUUUCAUUUGUUUUACUCACUCUCAGGAACCAAUCUUUCCAUCCUUUAGUGGGUUUUGGCCAGGAUCAGAAAGUGUCCUUCCAUAGAUCUAAGGAGAAGUUCUCGGCUCUAAAAGGAAUCCUAUUGGUUUCUGCGUUGAUCAGAUCGGUGGGGUCUGGAAUACCCAUUGGACCGAGACAUUGGAGGUGGGGUUGUUCAGUAGGAAUAACAAUUUUCUCACUCAGAUCCUAGAGUUUGGAGAUCAAAAGAACAGGGAAAAAUGGGGAGAAAAUGCUAAGUAAAUAAACUUGCAUAAAGUAAAGGAUUGUAGUAAAGGAAAGAGAGGAUGGGACUAGAUUAACCUUAGGGACAACAAAGUUGAUGCCAUUUCCUUCUGAAGAGAAGAACAGAAGAUUUGAAGAUUCUAGGAGAGCUUUGCCGUAGGAGAGCUUUUUCACUGCCAAAGUUCUUAAGCUCCUCGUCAAUGUCGCCACCGGGAAGGUGAACUUGGGGAUGGAGAAUGGCAGGGUAAAGAAUGAGUACUAGGGAAGGAGGUAUUUAUAGGUUGAAAUGAGCAGGGGUAUUUUUGACAUCUCUUUGCUGUGUCCGUGAAAUUCGAGGUUGUUCAGAUGGAUAUGGUAACUUUUCGCACGAUAAUCAAGGGAUUAUACAGGUGAUUUGACAGCAAGUAAUCAUGAUUUUAGGAGAUAUUCCACUGUACACGAUCUUUUGGUCGGUCCAUCGGCAGUCAACCUUAAUAGAACAGUUGCCGAUGCGCGUGUUUCUAUGAGAUUCAGUUCGGAUGGUUAAGGGAUGUGAGAUAUUCACUGAGAUAUGGAAGUCGGGAUUAAAGCCGUUUGGAUUUGGUAAUAAAUUCUUGCCAGAAGGGGAGUAAUUGUGAAAAGGGCGUCAUUAUCCGGAAAGAAUUUUGGAGCAUUAAUGGUUUUAUACUCCAAAAUUGGGAGGCAUGUGUUGACACCAUUUUUUGACGUAAGUCAAAGUAAACUAAUCGGCAGACAGGAAGAUACACUGUUGAGUUGAUAAGAAGAUCACCAAUGGUCGAUGGUGCCAAUGGCAGGGUAAUGGGUGAAGGAAGAUGUUGCUAAGCUUGACGGUAGCCGCUGAUCAUUGCUGAUUGGUUGCCGAUGUUGAUGAUUGCCGAUGCCGAUGAGGAAAGUUAUGAGAGUUGGUAAGGAUACAGGGAGUAUGCCGAUGAUGAUGAAAGGAUACAUGGAGUAUGCCGAUGAUGAUGAAGGGAGACGUGAGAGUUGCUAGGAAGGCAACGGUGAUAUGCCGAUCACCAGGAUAGAUAGGUAGUUAUUAUCCAUAUUUGUUAGAGUUUGCCUUAUGUAAGAGUCCUGUUUGGUUUAGAAUUAAAUCCUAGUCGUAUACGGUUGUAACUCUUUUGGACAGAUUAUAAAUAUAGUCCUAGUAGCAAUUUAAGAGGACCCAAUCAAUAUCAUACACACGUUUUACAUCUAUUGUUACAUCUACUUUUUCGACGACUUCGUCAACUUGCACGUUUUCUUUUAUCUACGAGUUCUUAAGGAUUCAUCGUGCAAUACUCGACGAAUUCUCGAGUUCUGCGUGAAUACCUCUUGGCCAUGGCAUCCGGGCGCAUCGCUGUUGUCGGGACCAAAGUAUUCAAGUUAUCACUUGUGUCAAUUGUUAGGUCAAAUUGGCUGGCACGCCUCAACGUUUGAAUCGGGUAUUAGACCUUUGUGUUUGCAGAUCUAUUUUUGCAUCAACAAUGCCUUGGCACAUGUAACAUUAAGAGAAAAGAAUGCUUCACAUGCGGCAGCAUCUGGGUGACUCCUAUUGGGGGGAACUAAACCGUGAUAGAAGUUCUAGAUCAAUAGCCAGUCUUCCAUGCCAUGGUGUGGGCUUGCAUCUACGUACUCUUGCAUACAUUUCCACACUUCGGGAAUUGACUCAUUAGCUUGUUGCUGAAAGAUAGAGAUCUUGUUGCGCAAAGCAUCGGUCUUACCCAUAGGAAAGAGCUUAACUAGGAAAGCGUUGGAACAAUUGUCCUAAGUAUUUAGGACUUUGCGAUUAGAGUAAAACUAUUGCUUCGCUUUUCCCAACAAGGAGAAUGGGAAGAGGCGAAGGCAAAUAGCAUUUGGGGUCACCUCAUUAAUGGUGAAUGUGCUAUAAAUCUCCAAAAAGUAUUAGAGAUGCACAUUAGCAUCUUCAUGAUCCAAGCCAUGGAAAGGGUUAUCUUGCACCAUCAUGAUUAAUGCGGGCUUCAACUCAAAAUAGGUGUCCGCAUUAAUGAUGCUAGGACCGAUGGCUCCAUUAGCAGCAGAAGGGGUAGAAAAUUCAUGGAUGGUCUCAUUGGCCAUGAUUGUGAAUAUAAAAGAGAAUGAUGAGAAAAAGGAAAGAAGAGAAUAGAAUUCCCUAAGCUAAAAAGCUAAAUGCGAACUAAUUCUACAGGCUCAGUCACAUGCACCAGUUGCCUUCCCCAACAACGGUGCCAGAAAUGCUUGUUGGUAUUUGUUAGCAUCACUUAGUAGGGUUGUCAAUUCCAACACUAAAAAUAUGAGACACUACAAAUGCAUAGAACUAUCAUGUAGCACUUUCCUUGGGAGUACCAGGUGUCAAAUUUAUUUGUUUCCUAUAGGAAAAGGCGAGGUAGGUGGAUCCUUGGGAUGAGUGUGAUGAAUUAGUGGGUGAAAGGUAUAGGUAUAGUAAAAGGGAUAACUAAGAUAUCUAAAGGGAUAAGAUCACUGCACAACUCUAGAGGGAGAGAAAGGUGUGAUCUAGGUAAAUAAGAUAGCUGAGUAAAUAGAAAGACGUUAUCUAGUAAAGAGGCAUACACGCUCUUGAUUUAACUGGACAAUGCACAAUGAGCCUUAUGAUUUAAUAACUAAACCCAACAUGGUGAAAUACACAAGUGACAGGGUUGUCACCACUUGCCAGCGCCACACUAUCCAGGGGCCUAGCCAUAUUAGAAGGUAAGUUAUAUCCUAAACACCUCGCUUAAUCUAUAAACCUAUAGUCUCUACUUGAGCUCAAAGAAGAGACACCUUAACUAGAUGACAGGUCAAUACUCAAUAUGAGCGAACUAUUACAAAGAUAACUUAACAACCUAUACUUAUAACAAGAGCCUAGUCUCACCACUAAUAAAUAGAAGUAAGAGUAAGACUUGAUUGUAGAGGCAUAAAGUAAAUACUUAAUAAGUAAGUACUAUAAGUAAAGCACUUGUAUUAAGUAAGAGCUGCAAGAUUAGAAAGGAGCUAUACCAGACUCGAAGACUCGGGGAAGACUCUUCUAGACUCCGAGGCAGAAGCUCCACCUGACCCUUUUCCUCUUGCUAGCUAGCUAGAGAUUCUAGGCUAUGCUAUAGAUAGAGCUGGCACGCUAGAGCAAAAGAGCAACUGAACUACUGAGCUUCUCUAGUGUCUAUUGAUUUCUAUCUUGUGUGAUCUGCCUUUCCAAGGGCUGAAUUUCUCCUUUCAUAGUACCAAGGGCACCAGAGGAUACUUGUAGGCGUCGAGGGUGGCCAAUAGCCGCCAAGAGGUGGCAGGUGCCUUGGUGGGGUGACGGGCGCCGCCCAAUUCUAUCGCCUCAGCAUACUAUGAUGUUGCAUUGGAUGGCUCCCCCAAGUUGGUUGCAUGGCAGGUAAGUUGGUUUUGCAUGUUGGAAAGUCAGUUUAGGUGCUCCAAGUGGAUGAUGUUGAACCCAUGGAUCCAUGACACUUCCAUCAAGCGCCAUUGCAUCAAACCAACCUUGCUGGAUGGUCUGGAGUGUGUGGGUAGUCAUUCCCACGGAUCACUGACAUGGCAGUCCAUAGGGGGCAGUGGGCGCUGCUAAGUGGCGGCGGGCGCCAUGCCCCUUGGCCUCCCUGCUGCCCUAUCACGUCCCACAUGUCACAUAUGUUCCAUUUUCCCUAUUUUUACUAUUUUUCGUGCAUACAAAUAAAAUUCCAUGUACAAGUGGAACUAGGUAAAAUUCAAAGCAUAUUUAUAUUAUUUCUUAUUGGAUUAACUUACUUUUGGGUGUAGGACACCGUCGCUCUAAGGUCCUAGCUGGAGGAGACUGCCGCUCAUACACUCUAGUGCUUUCACGCACGUUGCUUGCUAUUCGAGCUGGUUGUCGGUCAUGGGAAUAAGGUAGCGACCCCGUCGUGGAUACAGUCGAUGAGGUCUCAAUAUAUUGGCCAAGAUGGAGAAGAAGAGGGUGGGGAGCGGGCAAGGGAGAGGAGGGAUGGGGCGGCGGAGUUCAAGGAGACCUAGUGAGAGAGCCACGAGGAGUAAGAGAAUUGAAGAGAUGGGCCUAUAGUGAACUAGGGUUUUGGCUCAGGAUGGGCCUAUAGUGAGCUGCCACAUGGAUGCAUGGAUGCUGGACCUCGGGGCUAUUAACACUUGGAAUUUUUUUUAGAAAUUUAGGCAAAAUUAGGUAUUCCUUAAUCUAGAAAAUGAUUAACAACGUAUUUGUAACAUUAGGAAUGUGCAUGUGUGAUCUAAUUGCAAACGUGAAUCACAGAAAAUAAAAGAUAGGUCGCUAUAGUAGCAUACCCAGUGACAGUGCUUGUUGACGUAGUGUUUCUUGGUGUAGUCAUUCCGUAAGAUACAGUGCAAAUAGGCCACACCGCUAAUCACCAACUAGAUGAACGCUUAUUUGCAUCCUAGGGUGACCCCAUAUCUUUGGGAUUACAAACUAAGUUUAAAAUUGUCUUCUAGGACUGUUAAAUUUUGUAAGUGAUUGUGUCACGUAAUAAAUUUGUUCUCAUUCCUGUGGGAUGAAGCCGGAUAUUCUUUUAUUUAGCCUCAAAAUGUUGAAUUUCUUAAAAAACGCAUAGCUUUGAUAGUUUGAUUACUUAGGAUUGUUGCUCCUAAAAAGUUUGGAUAGAUGUGUUCAUGAGUCUUUCAUUCAACGAUUCUUUGCUCAAAGUUUUGACAAAAUUUUUCAUUCCUAUACAAAGAUGGGUACCACACAAUGCAAAUGCAUGUUUCGUCAUGCACUUUUUAUGCUUGUUGCUAACAAGAAAUGUAGCCUAUGUUCAUGCGCUAAACCGAUACAGCCAUGAACUUAUUUUUUAUAGGAUUUAAAUAUUUCAAAUACAUAAUAUGCAAUCAUCCUUCACAUGGCAUAACAGAGACUAACUUCCAACAUGUGCUUUCAUGUGAAGGUAUAACUAUAUAUAGAUGCCACACAUAUAAGUCCACUAAUUUUUUUAAAAAACAUACUAUCUCAAGUUUGUUGGAAACACCUUAUUGUCCACACGAUUUAAUCGGGGCCUAUGAAAAAAAUAUAUUCUAAGAUGCUAGAAUAUAUAUAUAUUUUUUAAUUAUACCGUUCAAACUAGCACAGUUAUUUUAAGACAAUCAGAGUAUAUAUCGGCACAUAGCAUUGGCAUAAACCUAUGGUGAGGACCAGAUGUUUCGCAUCACUGUCCAGUUGUGUGAUUUCCAUGGACAUGGAUCUGGGUCUCCUCUUUGGCCAUGCAUGCACAGAGCUGACUACAAUUUAGACGACGAAGUCACUUGGUGGAUAUGAGGUGACCAACACUAUAUAUAUUUAUAGUAGUGUGUGCCUAACAUCACACACCACAGGCCUAGCUUCUCUUUCCAAAAGCAUGGCGUGCACUACCCUUUCAUUGCUAGCCCACCUCUUGAUCCCUGUAUUGCUCAUCCUUGCUCACGACAUUUCUACAACCGGUGUUGUCAUAGCUCCACCUCCCACUGCUCUACCACUUCCACGGCUACGUGCACCCUCACCGACUCCUCGUCCUCCAGGUCUUGGGGCCCCUCCUCGCACUCCUCUUCUUCCUCCCCCUCGGACAGGAGCUCCACCUCUAACUCCUCUUCCUCGUCCAUGGUUGAGGGCACCUUCACCAGCUCCUAUUCCUCCACGGCUAGGAGCACCCGCUCGUACUCCUAUUCUUCCUUCUCCUAAGAUAGGUGCUCCACCUCCUACACCUGUUCCUCCUACUCCUCGGUUGGGGGCUCCCUCCCGCAGUCCUAUCCUUCCUCCCCCUCGAAAGGGUGUUCCACCUUCUACUACUCCACUUCCAGCACCACGAUUAGGAGCACCCCUCCCGUCCCGUCGUCCUUGUCCUCCGCCAAGUGCCUCUAUACUUCCUCCCCGUCGAACGGGUGCUCCACCUUCCACUCCUCCACUGCCUACACCACAAUUAGGGGCACCCCUCCCAUCCCGUCCUCUUCCACCGUCUCGUGGUCCUGUAGUUCCUCCACGUCGGAUUGGCGCUCCACCUUCCCCUCCACCACUACCUGCACCAAGAUUAGGUGCACCUCUCCCGUCCCCUGUUAAACCUCCAUCUCGUGCUCCUGUAGUUCCUCCCCGCCGAAAGCGCAAGCCACCACCUACACCACGUUCUAAGGCACCCAUUCCAUCUCCUAUUAUUCCUCCCCCUCGAAAGGCCGCUCCACCUUCCCCUCUUAAACCUCCAUCUCGUGCUCCUGUACUUCCUCCACGCCGAAAGCGCACCCCACCUCCAGCACGACGUUCUAAGGCACCCAUUCCAUCUCCUAUUAUUCCUCGCCCUCCAAAGGGCACUCCACCUUCCAAUCCAAUUCCUGCACCACGGUUAGGGGUACCCCUUCCAUCUCGUCCUCUUCUUCCCCCUCGUGGACCUACUUUUCCUUCCCCUCGGAGGGGCACUCCGCCUUCCACUCCUCCACUUCCUACACCUCUUCUUCCUCCAGCUCGUCCUCCUUUAUAAGAAUUCUUUUUGUCUAAGCAAUCGUGAAGGCAGCACCAAUCUCUUUUCAAACAAUAAGUCUUCACACAGCAACAAUAGUAAUAUCUUCAUUGAACCUCGUCAAUGGAAUAGUGCUAGAAGUGGAAGAUUGAAUCUCAGUUGGAUGGGUUUGUGUUUGGUACAGUGCCAUAGGGUCCCAACGUCCAUAAGAAAAUCAUGUAAUAGAAACAAAUAUAUUGUUUUUGGAUGUUUCAUAAAUUGGUAAGUCUAGGCUUACCACUCCUCUGUAUAAUUUCUCUACAUUUAUAUUAUAACGUAUUGUAAUAACCUUGCAAUAGCGAUUCGAUUUGCUCAAUUAACUCAUCCUUCUCUAUUUGUCAUUGUUUGUUCCUUCCUCCCUCGGUGUGUUUUUAAUUUAACACAUGGCACACAAGAAGUUGUCCAUUUCUUUGAAGCAAUAAGAUUUUGCAAAACAGCCUCCUAAGUUGAGAAAACUUGUACAAGACAAAAAUAGUCUAGAUUUUCCCAUAAAAUUAUGAUCAAGCUAACAUGACCCCAAGUCCUCCAAUGUGGCAUAAAACACGAGGGUUGUGAUGGCUCGGUUGUCACGGUUCUAAAUCAUACCUCUUGAUGCGUGAGUCUUGUUAUGAUCCUACUGCUAGAGAUGGUGGUAGGCAUGUACAAAUGUUGAUACUGG